rnacentral:lncRNA from 1 species
CAACCACAGUGAGUGUAAUUUGGGAAGAAUAAAAGUUGUUCCUUCUCCUUUCUGAUCUUCUUCUGAUGCUAUUAUUUCCUCCAUUUUUUCACAAUGUCGGACUCUAAUUGUCUCUAAGUUUUGGAGGCCCUGCAACAGCUCAACUGGAAACAACUUCUUCACCCUCGAACAAUAACUCAUAUGGAAUUUUUUAAGAGAAGAGAAGAUGGCAGGUGGUGUUGGAGCAUGAGAGGUAGAUUCAAUUUCAACCACUACUCCUAUUCCUACUCUCACAACUUCACGCAAGUUUCUCAACAAAAAUAGGCGUAACUCCUCAAUGUUGUCAAGUGCGUCACAAGACGAUAAUGACAAGUCAACCACACACUCUAUCCCUCUACAGUUCGUAAUUUGACAUUCCUUCCACUCAGUCACCUUACGAAACAAAGGAAUGUUGUUUAAACAUUUGAAAUCAUCGUACUUUUGAAUAGUUAAAGUUUGAAGGUCAUGUGGGACCACCCUAUCAUCACACCUCUCUAUCUCCGAACCUGUGAAUGUAAUCUGUUUCUUAAUUUUUUUGAAAUUUGGGCAACCCCAUAAAUCAAAACGCCAAUCCACCGAUGGUCCCCCCACUUGAAAAAAGAAAGAUGUAGGGCAUUUACCUUGUGUACACUCUGCGUAUUUAUUAAACUCUUGCACGUUGCGAAAUGAACAUUGAACCCACUCAAGCUUCCUCAAUUGGCCUACUUCUUCUCCCUUUAAAAACGUCUUCUCUAUUAUUAAGCAUUGGAGAUGACAGAUCCUCGGUAAUAUUCCUACCGGUAGCUCUUUUAAAGCCGUUGACCCCAUAAGAAGAUCUCUCAAGUUUUCUAACAUCUCUAUGCCAUGAGGAACCUCUUCAAUUCCUGUGCCCAAAAGGUUCAACUUUCUUAGUGCUGUGAGCUCUACUAAGGAAGGCACCUUUUUUAACUCCUCACAACCAGAAAGUAUCAAUGCAUUGAGAGUUUUCAAGUUAGAGAUCGAAUUGGGCAGAUAUUCUAAGGAACGAUUAUCUGAAAGAUUUAGAACUUUUAACCCAGACAUGUGCUUAAAAAAAGAUUCUGAAAUCCUUUCUAAGCCACAAUGUUCCAAAAUCAAAGUUGAUAAAUGAGGCCAUCUAGGUGAUAUGUGAGGAGGAAUUUCUAAUUUAAAAGUUUCCAUCAAGGAAACUUUCUCAACACUCACUGUCCAUUCUUGCUCACUUGGGAAUUCUUUCAAUGGCAUACCUGCUUUUCCCAUGAACUGAUGACCUGCAAUAUACAACGCCAUGUCCCUCAAAACAUCAUGCAUCUUAACUCCAUCAUUAUCAAUAAGAAAUGUAGCCCUCUCUAAUAGGCAAUUACUUUCAAGCUUAUUUAAAAUGCUAUAACCUCUAUGAUGCAUUGCUUCUUUGGUCUGUAAGCCAUCAAGGAGUCCCUCAUCUAUCCAAUUUUCAAUUAAUUCCACUUUUCUAAUUAUAUAAUCUUCAGGAUAUAGGGAGCAAUAUAAGAAACAAUUUUGGAUUUUUGGAUCUCUCAAAUGGUCAUAACUGAACUUCAAAGGCUCAUAUACUUCGAUAUCCAAUUCUUUCACACUUUCCACACGCUCUUCUAAUUCAAUUAGUGCAUUCUUCCACUCACAAAAAUCAUCUACCUCUUUCAUGCUACCGGCUAUUGUCACAAUACUAAGUGGUAAACCGCCACAUUUCUCAACAAUUUUGUCGACAAUGUCCUUUAAAUUUUGAUCUUGUACAACUCUACGCCCCACGUGAUCUAAGAAUAAGUUCAUGGACUCAUUCUUUGGAAGCAGUUGCACUUUGACCACCUCACAACCCAUAGACUUACAGACCUCAAUCGAUCUGCUAGUGAGUACAACUUUCCUUCCCAUACCUAAUGUUGGUUCAAGGAUUCCCAAAUCUAAUAGAGAAAAUCGUUUCCAAACAUCAUCUAAGAUCAACACAUAUCUCUUUUCCUCCAAAAUAUCCUUUAAUUUUGCAGCUCGUUGCAAUACAUCCGUUGGAAGAGCUUGUUUCAAAGAAUUUGCAAUAUCUUCUUGCAAUUUGAAAAUAUUCAAUUCUUUUGAUACGGUGACCCAUAUCACUUGAUCAAACAGAUUAUCCUUCAACAAUUGAUUAUUGAUAUGCUUCAUAAUGGUAGUUUUCCCUAUGCCACCCAUUCCACAUACUCCAAUCAUUCUAACCUUAUCACCCAUCAAAUACUUCCAAAUUUGUUCUUUUACAUCGAUUUCACCUUCUAGAUUUGGUGUUAGUAAUGUCACCCCAGUGGCUGGAGGCCCAUCAACUGCCACACCAUCAGGGAAACUACCUUGUUGGUAAAUUUUGUUUACCUUUUCAAUAUUUUCGCAAACAAAACUUCCUAGAUGACCACGUGACAAGAAUGAAACAGAACGGAACUCCUCUUCGAUGGUUUUCACUUCAUUGCCUACAUUUUCUACAUCUUUGAGCCAGUUCGCCACUUCUUUCUUCAUCUUUUUCCCACAACGUUCCUCUGCUUCCAUUUUUAAUUCAAGGUCUCGCUUUCGAGAAUUUAGACUAUUUACAUUUCCUCGAAGCUCAUUCAUAUAAUCUUCAAGUUUCCGAUGAUGAUUUAUGUAUGGACCCCCAAAGCUCCUUAUCACUUCAACAAAUGACAAUAUCCAAUCCAUAUUAUAAGCUCACUGCAAUUUAAAAACCCAACGUAUGUUAAGAUUCUUGCUUCACUUGUUAUGUUUGAGUAUAACAAAGAUAAAAUUGUUAAUGAAGCUUUGUUUCAAUGGUAAGGAAGAUGUGUAAGUUCGAUAUUACUUUUAUGCUAGUUAUUUAUUUAUUUAUUUUAUUGAUAAUUUGUUCAUUAUUUUUUACACUGAACGUAAUCAUUUGUUUUAUUAUGACUGUAAUUUGUACUUGUUCAUGUAAUAUAAAAAAAUAUAUAUAUAAAAAAGCAUUUUUGUUUUUAACUAAAAUUCUGAAUUUCUGGUGUUUGAUUAAUUAGUAAUGAGUUGUUUAAUUACUAUAUUUCUUAAAUUCUGUUUUAGAAUAUCGGGUGAAGCAUCUGUAAUACUUUUAUAAACCAUUACCAAAUGUUUUAUUCCUUCUACCUUAUUUUUUAUAUUUUCCUUCAAAAUUUCCUUAAUAUUCCACUUUCAAGCAAAACUAAGUAAAUAUAAACCAUAAAUAAUUAAUAAAUGAUUUAUUUUUCUUUCUCCCCUGUUGAUAACUAUCAAAAAUUCUUGGAUAUUAAUUACAUCAUCAAUAAAAGGAGGGAUAAAGAAGAAACACUAAUUUUCAAUAAAGAUAAACAUCAAAGGCACUAAAGAAUAUUAAUUAAUAUUUUUUUGAACAGUUCUAAAAAAUUUCAAUUAUGGAUUAAUAUAAUCUAAAUAUAAGUAAGGAAGUUUGUGAAAACAACAAUAUAUCCCACAAAGACAUUAAGAAAUAAUUGCAGGAAUAAAUUGUGAGAGUAAUGACCUUCAGGAUAUAUACCUGGCUUGUUCUUCAAAUUAUUCGGAAAGAUGAAACCCAAAGGUCAGUUAAAUGAUCCACAAACCUCCUUGUCUCUUUGUUAAGCACAACCUUCUUAGGCAGAAGAAAGAAGCUGGCAUAAAAUUAACAAGGAAAAUUAGUAGUGUUAAUAAAAGUGAAAAUCUAAUGUGGUAUAGUCUUCAGAGUUAUUUGCCUAAAUAAGAAAAUAGAGGACACAAAACAAAGAACCAAAAUAAUUAAGUGGAAGGAAAGAUGAUGAAUUUAAGAUUCCAGAAAACAUGAACCCAAAUCUAUAUUAAACAGUUUAAUUACCUGGUCAAGUGAGGUAGAUGAGGUGGUACUUGUAUCCUUAGAGGGUCUUAAGUCUGUGAAAGCAGGAAACUAAGAUCUCUGUUAAAUUUGUGAAGAAAACAGCAACAAGCAGAUCUCCUCCCAAACUAUUAUCUAUGAGAAGAAAAUGAAUAAUGAAGCACAUGAAUUAUUGAAAAGUGGACAAGGUAAAUAUUUAUGUGGAAACUAAAAUAAAUGCCCAACUUGUGUUGGAAGGUAUGGUAAGAUGAAUUUAUGUCAUAAGUUAAGAUUCUGAUUAAUUACUGCUACCAAAGAUAAACAUAAAUCACACAAAUAUAAACAGUUUACCUGGUUCACGGAGACAGUGAACUGAUUCUUCUGUCGUUAGAAGGUCUUUGUUAAAUUUGAGAAGCAAGCACACUCAGGAAAUAUAGCAGCAAUAAGCAGAUGAUCUCCGUGAGAAGAGAAUCGAUGAAUUGUGAAGCUAAAAGAAUUAAGAGCUGGCAAGUCAAUGCAAAGUCGUCGCACAAAUUGUACAUUCACUUUCCUUGAAGUUGUUUCACAGUAAUGCAAAUGUAAAUUCACUUUCCUUGAAGUUGUUUCACGGUAAUGCAAAUGUGAAUAGAAGAAAAACUGACAAAGUAGGACUGAAUUAUGGGGCCACUUGUCCUACUUUCCACUCCUUCAUUAUUGUCCUUCUUGUCUUCUGUUUGGCAAUAAUGCAAGUAUGAAUUUAACAGAUGCCCUGGAUUAAGAAACUUAUAACUUUAAUAGAAGUUUAUAAUUUAAGAAGUGAAUUAGUCUAACCAAAAAACUGAACAAUUAUUUUUUUGUUGCUGAUAACAAAGGUUUGAUUAUACACAGAAUGUAAUAAGUUAUGAUCUCCUAAAUUUAGUCCAUCUUAUAAGUGCUUGAAUUCAUAUAUACUAAUGUCCUCAGUCUUGAAUUCUUUUCUUAUUGCUGAUAACAAUGGUUUACUUAUGUUCAGAAUGAAAUAGGUUAUGAUCUCUUAAAUGGAGUCCAUUUUAUAAGGAGACAGGAAAGAAAGAGCCCUGUGUUUGAUGGCAGUGAGGCAACCAGAUUGAUUUUCCACUAAUUAGCCACAUCAGAUUACUAUGUAUAGCCACUAAGUCAAGUGAAGCAACGAUCUCCUAUCAAGAAAAUAACAAACAGCACAUCUCCUGGCAAAUUAACUCAUCUAUAAUGACAAGAGAAUGAAUUAAUAAUUUAAAAGUGGGCAAGUCAAUGCAAGUCAUGAUGUUGGUUUCGGGGUCACUUCCCUUAAAGCUGCUUUAAAAUAAAGCAAAUAGGAAUCGAAUAAAAGAUGAUAACGUGAGAGUGAAUACUGCUUCAUAUUUCUUAAAGACACAAUCAUGUAAGCUAUUUCGUUCAGUGCCUGGAUCAUAUGUAUGCACAUGUGCAUGCAUAGGACCAACUUUAAAACGAGCCCUGUCAAUCAUAGAUUAUAUCAUUCGUGAUAUAAUCUGAUGAAUAACAGGUGAUAUAAUCUGAUGAAUAACAGGUCAUUGCCAAUAUCACAAGAGUUAUUGAUAAAAACUAAAACUUGGGAAAUGUUGACAAGUAUUUGUAUAUUUAUACUAUACACAGAAAAGACUCAAGAAGGUCUUUGUUAAAUUUGAGAAACAAGCACAGUCAAGAAAAAUAGCGGCAAUAGCAACAAGCAGAUGAUUUCAGUGAGAAGAGAAUCCAAUAAUUAUGAAGCAAUAAGAAUUACAAGUCAGCAACUCAAUGCAAAGUCGUCGCAGAAGCUGUAAAGUAACUUCCCUUGAAGCUGUUUCACAAUACUGCAAAUGUGAAUUGAAGAAAAACUGACAAAGUAGGACUGAAUUAUGGGGCCUACUCUCCUCCAUCAUUGUCCUUCUUGACUUCUGUCGCGAUAAAGAAAAUAUGAAUUGAACAAAAACUGACAGACUAGUAUUAUUGUCCUCGCAACUUUCUUUCACAAGGGCACCCAUUUUUAUGUCCUAAGGCAAAGACCAAAAUUAUCUGGGAACAAUCAAAGAAAGUUGUAUGUCCUUUGCUACUUGCUAGCUAUCUUGACUAAUAUUGUAUGUAACACUUAUUAUUUUCUAUAAAUUUUUACAUAAUAACAAAUUUGAUGUAAAGUUCAUUAGUUAAUGGUACGUUAAUUCACUUGAUCGAUAACUAAUUAAAAUGUGAAAAGUGUAAUUUUAUUAAUUCCGUAGAAUUAUUUUAGUGAAGUUUCUAAGUAUAUCAUCUAAUCCGGUAUCUAGCAUCAUUAUUUCUACUUUUUUUUUUCCUUUUGUAUAAGUAUAUCGAUAACCAACAAUUAUUUUCAGGGUUGUUUAACAUACUAUGGCCACUGUCAUGCAUUGCUAUGUCUAGUCUAUAAUUCAUGGAGGAAUCCCUCCUCGGUUCAUUUCUCUAUUUUACUCUAUUCUUUCAAUUUUGCAGUCUUCAUGAUAUAAGAAGCAAUAGAAAAAAUAAUUUUGGAAUUUUGAGUCUUCCAAAUGAUCAAAAUUACACACACUACAACAAAUUUGACUUAAAACAGCACAUUUUAUAAAUGUGUUACUAAAAAUAUUUUUAAUAACACUUUUUUUAUGUUUUUUAGAACAGCUUUUUAGAUCUAAUUUUACUAUAUACAUUUUUAGAUGCAUUAUCAAUAAAAUGUAACAAUAGAAAUUAUAUACACUAACAAAUGUUGCAUUUUACUGUACAAAAAAUAUAUCGUCCAAACAAGUGUGGUUAAAACUUAAUUUUUUUGCUAUUACAUCAAACACUCAAAUAUUUCAACAUCUUAUCUUCUCACACUUUUGACCCGUUAAUUCAUUUAAUGCAUCCUUCCACUCACAAAUAUAUGUCAUUUACUCCAUGCUACCUAAUAUUGUCAGAAUGGCGUGUCUUUGCCAAAUACUUCUAAUAGGCCCUAACUGAUUAGGCAAAACAUAUCUUCAAAUUGGAAUAAUUAAGGGAUUGGACUUAUCUACAAGAACCAACAUCUGAAGUUGCAAGGAAUAUAAUCUUACUCCAAAAUGGAAUUUGUAAUUAUAGAGUCUUACAAAUGCUAAUUACAUAGCACAAAUUAAUGAUCAGAUAAUGCAGUCUUCCUAGAUGGAUGAUUUGAAUAUGAGAAUUAUGAGCUGAGUACAGUGGAGAUUUUUCCUCACAUUUUUCUAUAAUAUUAUUUAUGAGCAGCCUUAGCUUCAUAUAUUAUCAAUUAGUGCAUGGGAAGCUUUGAAGAACAUUAUGAGACAAUUAGUAAGUAUUCAUAACUAUAUAGAAAAGAAAGGAUAGCUUCUAUAUGAAGCAUUUUGCUUGCAAAAUACAUGCAGGGUGCCACAUGAUUGGAUAUUUCAGUUGUAUGGAUAUUUGAAGUCCUAGGAUAGCAAUUGUUUGGGAAGAAAGAAUUUCUGAGAAACUUUCCUCAAUGUUGACAGGGACUUUUCAUAUCAUCUGUUAUGACAAUUUGACUUCCACUAACCCUCACCACUUUCCCCAUUUUUUUGGGUAAUAAAAAGAAGUUGAUUUUUUCCAACUUAAAUUGAGGUAUUUGACAGGCUACUGAUGAUCUAAAAGACUUCACUAUCCAAUUGCAUGGGCCUCAGGGCACAAUUUGAACAUCAAAUACAAAAUUCAACCUGGUUGAGCUCCCAACUGUGUAAAGAAAAAAUCAAUUAAAUAUUGUUCAAUUCUUGCUUGUAACGUCUGCAGAUUGUAUAUGAGACUGAUGGAGUAAUAAAUAUGUCUAACCCAGAGAAAUCAUGGAUUAAUCAACUCGUUCUUUUAAAAGGGAAGGCAUCACAUUAGUUCAUCUACUAACUAAACCUUUACAAGCGGAAUAUUGGAUUAAAGUUAAAACAAGGGAUCUCUCUUUGAUAUAAACUAGUCCUAAAGAAUUUAUAGGAUAAUUGAGAGAUUGAAUACUGAAAUUGAAGAAGUCCAAACUUUUGUUUGGCAUAUAUUCAUAAACCAGCAUCUUUUCCUCUCCUUCAAUGCAACAUCCCAGGAGCUUUACAAGAUUUCGAUGUUGAAGCUUGGCAAUUAGUGCUACUUCAUUUUUGAACUCAGUUAAACCUUGUCCAGAGCUUCUUGAAAGCCUCUUCACAGCGAUCUCUUGUCCAUCUACCAGGUUACCCUGAAAAAAAUGUACUUUAAAGAGUUGUAACUUUGUUCUAAACAUACUUCAUACUUUGUCUUCUGAUCAAUUUCACCAGAAUGUUGCAAAUUUACCCUGUAUGCAUGCCCAAAACCACCUUGUCCUAGUUUGUUGUCAAUGGAGAAAUCAUUGCUUGCUUCGGAUACUAAUGAUAAGUCGAAUAACUGGACUUCUGAGUCUUCGCUUUGCCCUUCAGUGCUCCUGUCCUUUAUCACAUGGUUUUCUCUAGCCCCUGAAACAUUUUAGUACAUACUAACAUUAGCCAUAGAAGGCUAUAUCAUGUUGGUCAAUUGUAUUUCUGAACAGACUAGGGAAGUUGGUAAUUAGUAUUCUAAAACAUAGUGAAAACAUGAUUUGUGAAAGCAAAUGGAUCAGAUAGUGUUACCUUAUAAACAGCUCCAAAACCACCUUCCCCUGGCUUGUUGUCCAUAGAAAAGCUAUGAGUAGCAAGCGCAAAUAUUGCAAGCUCCAAGUCUUCAUCCAGGCCUUGAUUUUCUGAAUCAUUUUCCUUAUUGUUUUCUGUUUCUCUGAAAUAGUAGUCAAAAUAGGCUUUUUAUUCACCAUAAAAUAUGCAUUCUAAUUGAGCUAGAUAACUGAACAUAAAACUCAUUUUUCACACCAAUAAGCAUUGAAAACUACUUAUUUUUUGAGAAAAAAAAAACAUUAUUCCAAUGAACUGGCAAACAAUCUAAUUUACUUCUUUUGAAGAAACUGCAUGUGGAUAAGUGGAUUAGGUAGCAUCACUAUUAACAAGGUAAUUUUUUUUGUUUAUUUAGCUAAGGAAUUGAAUGACAUAUUUGUGAAGGAUAUGUCAAAAUUACCUUUCAACUUUCUGCGGACUCUGUAAAUGUAAUAACUGAUUAUAAACAGCCCCAAAAGUGCAACACAGCGGUUUUGCAAUAGAUGCAACAAGCUUCAACCUUGGCUUAUCGCAUCCAAGCUUGGCUUUCUGCAUUCCAUGUGUAGCCUUGUAUCAUCAGUUUGGUUAGGAGCAAGUCCUGUGAUCAAUGAUUUCUAUUUGAGACAUUUUGGAUGGUUGACAUAUAAAAUACAAACACCAGGUGGGUUGAUCAUGCAUUGUUUUUAUGAGAUGAUGUGAUUGACUGACUCUUGAUCAAUGAACUGUACACAAAGUGCAGCAGAAAACAAUUUAUAAACAUUGAGAUUCCAGAUAAUUACUUGUAUUGAAUAAUUUCCAAUUCAUCAACCAUUUCACACCAGUAGACAUUUUCAUUAAAAGCACAAGGCACAAGCAUCAGCUGGGAAUGCAAUUACUUGAUUAUUAAAACAUAACUCAAAGCAUAGUCUUACGAACAGUAUAUAAACAGAGUUUGUAGCAUGGGAGAUGUGAGGAUACAACUCCCUAACCAACCUUUAACAUCGAUAUGGUUAUUUCAUUCUACAUGCCCACAGCAAAUGGAAAAGGAAACAAUAAUGUCUAAUCAAUCUUACUUGUUCAACAAGGAUUUGAAGGAUAACAGCUAAAUCAAUAAAUUGGCGUUGAAUUAAGUUAUAAGAUUUUGAUCACAAACAGAGGAAGUCCUCUCAUAAAUGAAUCAAACAAUAUUUAUGGCAAGUGAGGCAUGCUUGGUGCUGUUAAAGAUUUGCUUAUGAUUGAAUAAUCCUAUUAACUACUAACUUGUUCAUAAUGUUUUUAAACUAGCAUUUUUUAAAUAAUGCUAGUUUAAAAUAUGACCAUAUAUAUAUAUAUAAGAAAAAGAAUACUAUGGACCCUAAAUAUUACUUUAAUCAUUUUAUUAUAUCUUUUAACAUUUUAAUUCAUAAUAAUUUAAAGAUUUUAUUUACGUGUUAGAGUUCUCUUAUUAUUUUAUUUAUGUAUAUAGAUUUUUUUUCUUUUUAAAUUUGAAAAAAAUUUCAAACCUGGCUUGUAAUAUGUCAGUGAAAAAGAAAAUAAAGGGAUGUAGGCAAAGAGCUUAAUUAACUCUUUUGAAGAAACUGCAUGUGGAUUUGCUAGCAUCAAUAUUAACAAAGUAAUUAUUUUUUUGUUUAUUUAGCAAAGAAGCAAAAUAAGCAUAUUUGUUAAGGGUAUAUCAAAGUUACCGUUCAACUUUGCAUUGCCUCUGUAAAGGUAAUGACCGACUGUAUACAACCCCGAAAGCACAGCAUAGUGGUGUUGCAAUUACUGCAGGAAGUUUUAUCCUAGGCUUAUCUUUCAAUUCUGUAUGGCGAAAUUUGAUAAGGAAAAGCAUACAUGAACAAAAAUGAAAAAAGCAGCGAAAACAAGAGAAAAUGCAGACUCAUACCUGAUUCUGAAGCAGACACUCUUAACAUAUAGAUCCUGCCCUUUUGAUUCAAAUUGUCUGCAAUCAAUCAGAUUAUCAAACCAAAGGGCCCAACCACUACCUCUUCCUCUAUUAUCUGAACUAGUGUAUGCCAUAUAGGAAUAGUUCUGUAGAUACUUAGCCCUGCAUCCCUUGAGAUUCAUAGUUUUAGUCACCCAAGAAUGUGUAGCAUCUGGCAUUUUUAAAUCCUUUAAAUCUAAUAAAUCCAUCUCUGCUUUGGCAGUUGAAUGGCUUGUUGUGCUUACACCCUUGGCACCAGUCUGAUGAGUUCUGUCUUUUAGGGAAUUCAGGCUUAAACAUCAGCUUUCAGGGAAUUAAGGCUUGAAUCCUUUAAAAAGUGGAAGCUGAGCACCAUCACAAUUCCCUUUUGAACCACAAAGUCCAUAUCUAUCAAAGUAGUCUCUUGAAGCAAAUGACAGAAGCAUCCAAGCUUGCUUUCUGCAUUUCAUGUGUAGUCCUGUGAUCAAUGAUUUCUAUUUGAGACACUUUGGAUGGUUGACAUAUCAAAUAGAAAUGCCAGGUGGGUAGAUCAUGCGUUGUUUUUAUAAGAUGAUGUGAUUGACUGACUUUUGAUGAAUGAAGCAUACACAAAGUGCAGCAGAAAACAAAUUAUAAACAUUGAGCUUCCAGAUAAUUUGUAUUUCUCAAUAAUAUGAAGCUUAUUCCUCUAAUCAUUCUCUUCAUUGGACGAACAUAACUUCAAUGACUUACUUGUAUUAAAUGAUUUCCAAUUCAUAAACCAUUUGAGACUUUUUUUUCUCACAUCUGAUAGGUUGCAGGAUAGUCCCAAGAAUUGAUCACCAAGUUCAACAGGGUGCCUUCCUUCCUCCCAUAAUCUCCGAGCCUGCAGCAAAUUGAAAACCUUUUAGUCAUUUUAUUAUAUCUUUCAACAUUUUAAUUCAUAAUAAUCGAAGUAUUUUAUUCAAGCGUUAGAGUUUUAUUUAUAGUAGUAAUUAAUUAUUAUUAUUAUUUUUGUAGAUAGAGUGUGUUUUUUUUUCUUUCAAAAUUUGAAAAAAAUUAAAACCAAGUUUGAAAAAUGUGAGUGAAAAUGAAAAUAAAGGAAAGAGAUGGGCAGGUGUAAUAGGAGGGGAUGUAGGAGGUGUUAGAUGGCAAUUGGUGGAGAAAUGCAGAUUGAAGGGUGUUGAGUUUUAGAUUUUGGUAUUAUUCAUAAAACUAAAGACUUGGUUUUGUUUUGAUAUUAAAAAAAAGUAAUUAUUUAGCAAAUGAGAAAUUAAGAGAUAAAAACUCACAAUUAAUGUUUGUGGUUCUUAACAAGAAGCAAGAGCCUUAUAGCCACAUUUAAUCAAACACCUCUUCUCCAUCUCACUCUACCAAUCAAAAUAUCGAAGAAAGGGAGAAAGGACAUUCUUAGUGUGCUAUCCAACAACCCACAUCUGAUGUGAAUGCGAUUGUUAAGACCUAUAUAACAAUUCAAGUUCACCAUUACUAGCAACUUGAGCUUAAACUUUUGAGGGCUACGUGGUUUAGGCCCAAAAAGUUACUAGGCCAAUGGUUGGACUUGGGUCGUUACAAAUGGUAUCAGAACUUGCACCAGUCCGAUGUGAACUUUCACAUUGCUCUGGUGAGAUCUUGGUCCCGUGGAUGUGAUGUGUGGCCUUGAUGAGGACAUCAAGGAUUUGAGUGGGUGGGAUUGUGAUAUCCAACAUCCUACAUCUGAUGUGAAUGUGAUUGUUAAGACCUAUAUAACAAUCCAAGUCCACCAUGGACUUGGGUCGUUACACUUAGCAUCAAGUUGAUCCCAUUCCACUGAUUCCCACCAUUCUCUCGGGCCUAUUCUAAUAUAUUCUAGAGAAGGAGGAGAUGGUUUCCCAUUUUCAACAAGGGGAAGAGACAAAGGGAUCCUCUUUACUUCUGGACAUCUCUCUAUUUGAAGAUAUUGGAGAGAAUCUGCAGGAAUCAUAAGUCCACCACUGUAAAUGCUUUUCAGUUUUGGUAAAUUUCCCAAGAUUAAUGAUUUUAAUUUGGGAAGAAUAAAUGUUGUUCCUUCUUCUUUGUGAUUUUCUUCUAACGCUAUUAUUUCCUCCAUUUCUUCACAACAUUCAACGAAAAUUUUCUCUAAGUUUGGGAGGCCUUGCAACUGCUCAACUGGAAACAACUUCUUCAUCUUCGAACAAAAGCUCAUCAUCAAUAAUUUAAGAGAAGAGAAGAAGGUAGGUGGUGUUGGAGCAUGAGAGGUAGAUUCAAUUUCAACCGCUACUCCUACUCGUACUCUCACAACUUCACACAAGUUUAGCAAGUCAAGUAGUUGUAGCACCUCAAUGUUGUGAAGUGCGUUGCAAGACGGUAAUGACAAGUCAACCACACACUCCAUCCCUUCACACUCCGAAAUUUGACAUUUCUUCAAGUCAGGUGCCUUACGAAACAAAGGAAUGUGGCUUAAACAUUUGAAAUCAUUACACCUCGCAAAACAAAAAGUAUGAAGGUCAUUUGGGAGCAUUAUUUCAUCACACCUCUCUAUCUCCAAAUUUGAGACAUCAACCAUUUUCUCAAUUUCUUUGAAAUAUGGGGAAUGCAUAAUAUGAAUAUUACUAGGUGGUCCCACUUGAAAAAUGAAAGACAUAGGCCAUUUACCUUGUGUAGACUCUGCAUAUUUCUUAAACUCUUGCAUGUCACAAAUGAACAUAAAACACACUCAAGCUUCCUCAAUUUGCCUACUUCUUCCCCCCUUAAAUUUAACUGUACUAGUAAGCAUUGCAGAUGAGAAAUCUUCAGCAAUAUUCCCAUUGGUAGCUCCUUUAGAUCGCUUGACCGUAGACCAAAAUAUCUAAGGUUUUGUAACAUUUCUAUACCCUGAGGUAACUCUUCAAUUUUUGUAUUCCAAAGGUCCAAGUUUCUCAGUGCUUUGAGCUUUGCUAAUGAAGGCACAUAUUCUAACCUGAGACAAUAAGCAAGCAUCAAUGCAUUGAGAUUUUUCAAGUUAGAGAUGGAAUUAGGUAAAUCCACAAUCUCAUGAUUACGAGAAAGAUCUAGAACUUUUAGCCCAGGCAUGUGCUUAAAGAAAGAUUCUGGAAUUCUUUUUAAGCCACAUUGUUGCAAUAUCAAAGUUGACAAAUGAGGACAUUCGGGUGAUAUGUGAGGAGGGAUUUCUAUUAAUUUUGAAUUUUGCAUCAAAGAAACCUUUUCAACACUCACUGUCCAUUCUUGCUCACUUGGUAGUUCCUCCAACUGCACAUUGGCUUUUACUAUGAACUGAUGACCUUUAAUAUACAAUGCCAGGUCUCUCAAAACAUUAUGCAUCUUAACUCCUUUGUCAUUCCAAGUUGUAGCCCUUUCUAGCAAGCAAUUAUUUUGAAGCUUAUUUAAAAUGCUAUGGCCUCUAUCAUGCACUUCUUGUCUAGUCCUUAAGCCAUCAAGGAGUCCUUCAUCUAUCCAAUUUUCAAUUAAGUCAACUUCUUCAAUCACAAAAUCUUCAGGAUAUAAGGAGCAAUAUGAGAAACAAUUUUGAAUUUUUGGAUCUUUCAAAUAGUCAUAACUGAACUUCAAACGCUCAAAUAUUUCAACAUCUGAUCCUUUCACACUUUUCACACGCUCUUCUAAUUCAGUUAAUGCAUUUCUCCACUCACAAAUAUCAUUUACCCCCUUCAUGCUUCCAGCUAUUGUGACAAUGUUAAGUGGUAAACUGCCACAUUACUCAACAAUUUUGUUGACAAUGUCUUUUAAAUUUUGAUCUUGUACAACACUAUGCCCCACAUGUUUUAAGAAUAAGUUCGUGGACUCUGUCUUUGAAAGCGGUUGCACUUUGAUCACCUUACAAUCCAUAGAUUGAUAGACCUUAAUCGAUCUGCUAGUGAGUACAACUUUCCUCCCCAUAUCUAUUAUUGGUUCAGGGAUACCCACAUCCAAUAGAGAAAACCGUUUCCAAACAUCGUCUAAGAUCAAAACAUAUCUCUUUCCCUCCAAAAUAUCUUUUAAUGCUGAUGCUCGUUGCAAUUCAUCAUCUUUUAAAAGAGAUUGUUUCAAAGAAUCUGCAAUAUCUUUUUGCAAUCUAAAAAUAUUCAAUUCUUUUGAUACAGUGACCUAUAUCACUUUAUCAAAGUUCUCACUUUCCUUUAACAAUCGAUUGUUGAUAUGCUUCAUGAUGGUAGUUUUCCCUAUACCACCCAUUCCACAUACUCCAAUCAUUCCAACCUUAUUACCCAUCAAAUACUCCCAAAUUUGUUCUUUUACAUCGAUUUCACCUUCUAGAUUUAGUGUUGGUAACAUCACCCCGGUGGUUGGAGGCCCAUCAACUGCCACACCGUCGGGGAAACUACCUUUUUGGUGAAUUUCCUCUACCUUUUCAAUCAUUCGGCAAACAAAUUUUCCAAGACGACCACGUAAGAAGCAUGAAAUAGCAUGGAACUUGGAUUCAAUCUUUUCCAUUUCAGUGUUUACCUUUUCUACAGCUUCAAACAAGUACUCCACUUCUUCCCUCACCACUUUUCUGUGACGAAGCUCCUCUUCCUUUCUUGAUAUGAGGUCUCUUUUUUGGAUAUUUAAAACAUUCACUUUUUCUCGAAGAUCAUUCAUAUGUUCUUCAAGUUUUCGUUGAUGGUGUAUAUAUGUACAGGUUGGACCACCAAAGCACUUUAUCACUUCAAAAAUUGGCCCUAUAAGCUCCAUAUAAGCUAUUCCCUAGAGAUUAAAAACCAAGAUAUAUUAGAUCUCCAUAUGACAUAAGCUACUCCGUCCCUCCCUAAACUACAAUUCUAUAUUUUUCAUAUAAUAUAGAAUAUGUUAGAAAAAAAUGUUACUAAUUAAAAUUUUUUUACCAAUUCUUAAGAAAAAACAUAAUAUUUUUGAAAACAUUAUUAAAAACAAGAAGUUUUUGUUUCAUCAUCUUUGAGUAUAAUAUUUACAUUUCCAACAAUAUUUAUAUCUAGAUGAAUGUAUUCAUUUUUCCCCUUAAAAAACCAUCGCAAAUUCUUGAAUAUAUUAUAUCUAUAUGGUUCCUAGUUUUGAUCAUUACAACAUUAAUAAAAGGAUGAUGAGAAUGGAGAAAUCAAUUUACUAUAAAUAUAUAAAUGACAAAAUUUUUUAUAAAAAAAGGAAUCCAUUUAAAGUUGAUAACUUGCGUUUCUAACAUGUAUACAUAUUAAAUAAAUGUACCUGUGAAAGAAUCACAGGUACUAGACGAAAAGUAUCCAGUUCUUUAAUAUAUUUAUUUAAAUUGUAUUAUUCUGUAUGACAGAUUCUCCUUUCAAGUAUUCUGUUAUAAACUUUUGAAAUUAAUCUGAAUUUAUAAUUUACAAAGAGAAAAUUAUGUACCCUAGUCUUGAAAUCUUUCCUUGUUGCCGAUAUAGAAAGAUUUGACAAUGUACAUAAUGACAUGAAGUGCCCUGUUUUUUGAUGGAGCUUUAGCAUCAAACUUCAAUUAGCUGAGUUAACCAGAUUGUUAGUUCCUUGAUUGAUUUUCCAAUUAACGAGCCAUAUCAGAAUAUUAGACUUGAGAAAUGGAAUUUUGACUUCUAAGGUCCUAAAAAAGAUUAAUUCACAAAAUACAUAAAAAUAAAAUGUACAAGAUGACGAUGAAAAUCAUUUGUGUAAAGAUAUUGAUGCUGUAUGACAUAUAAUUUUGCUUUUGGUCAAAUAUUGAAAUAUCGUAAGGAACAACGCGUUGAGCUUCCAACAAUGUGUCAGUCAUUUCAUUGGUUGAAGAAGACUUUAAAUGUUUUAACCCCAAAUUACUAUUCAUAACACGUUUUCAUUAAAUAUAUCAGAGAUCAGCUUUUUUCGUUUUGUCCCAAUUUUCUUGGUUUUCACUUUUCAGUGAAUUAAAGACCUAAAAAAUCUUUGUCAUCAAUGGAUAACAUCAUUGGUGAUUACAUUCGAGCCUUCUAUUAAGUUUAUGUAGCAAAUACAAAUAAGUAAUGGCUUAUCAUGCAUUUUUAGUUUUGUUAUGAUGUGAGGAUUAUAUGAGUCUUCCUCAAUGAAACAUCUGAAAAAGUGCAUGAGAAAAAAAUCAAAACAAUUUACAACUGAUGAGAUUGCACAUUACUCUUUUUUCUGAUUUAUAUGAAGCUUCAGUGCAAUCAUCUUGUCAAUUCUUUGUGAGACAACUAUAGAUAACAGUACCCCCAAAAAGGCACUUGCAGGGUGCUAAGCUUAAACUGGGACUGAACCGUUGGUAUCAAUGCAUAAGGUACAAAACAUACUGAUCAUCCACAGCAUCUAAUAAUGGCUUGGAGAUGAAAGAGUUAAGUAUAUAAUAAUCUGAAAAUUAUAUUUGUUAAUUUUUGUUAAUUGUUAAGUUUAUUUAAAAAUUGAGAUUAUUAUCAUUAUUAAAUUAUUUAUAAUUAUGCUAGUUAAUUCUUUUAAGUAAAUUAUUAAAAAUGAUUCCUUUGAAUAAUUUUCAGAAUUUAUUUAUAUAAUUUUCAUAUAAAUUUUUUCCAUUAAGUUGUUUUAUAUUUUUAGCAAACGUUGGACUUCUCGUUUGAAUGUUUUAUAGACAUUAUCUUCAACUCUUCGCCUCCUCAAACGCCAAAAUACAAACUCAGCCACUGCAUAUAACCACUGCAGAACAUUAUCAAAAGCAAUAAAUAUGUGAGGAUUUGUAGACAUUAUGAAAAUAAAGUGACAUUUACUAAGUACCAACCACUCUUUUUCCCAUCAGUUUGGUCUCCUCCAAAAGUUCUAGCCAGUCCAAAACCUGAAAUUUUUGGAUUCAUAUCACUACCAAUCACAACGUUACUAGCUUUGAGAUCUCUAUAAAUAAAAAAAAACUUUCGAUUUGCUAGCUUUACUAUUAACAAAGUAAUUUUUUUUUUGUUUAUUUAGCAAAGGAACGAAAUAAGCAUAAUUAUGAAGGAUAUAUCAAAGUUACCAUUCAACUUUGCACGACCUCUGUAAAGGAAAUGACUGACGCUAAACGGCCCGAAAAGCACAACACAGUGGUGUUGCAAUUAAUGCAGGAAGUUUUAUCCUAGGCUUAUCUUUCAAUUUUGUAUGAUGAAAUUCGAUAAAGAAAAGCAUACAUGAAGAAACACAAAAAAAGCUGCGAAAUCAAGAAAAAAUGUAGACUCAUACCUGAUUCUGAAGCAGACACUUUAACAUAUAGAUCCUGCCCUUUUGAUUGAAAUUGUUUGUAAUCAAUCAAAUGAUGAAACCAAAGGUCCCAACCACUGCCUCUUCCUCUAUUAUCUGAACUAGUGUAUGCCAUAUAGGAAUAGUUCUGUAGAUACUUAACCCUGCAUCCCUUGAGAUUCAUAGUUUUAGUCACCCAAGAAUGUGUAGCAUCUGGCAUUUUCAAAUUUCUUAAAUCUGAUAAAUCCAUCUCUGCUUUGGCAGUUGAAUGGCUUAUUGUGCUUACACCCUUGGGACCAGUCUUAUGAGUUCUAUCCUUCAGGGAAUUCAGGCUUAAACAUCAUCUUUCAGGGAAUUAAAGCUUGAAUCCUUUAAAAAGUGGAAGCUGAGUACCAUCACAAUUCCCUUUUGAACCACAAAGUCCAUAUCUGUCAAAGUAGUCUCUCGGAGCAAAUGAGGAAAGCAUCCAAGCUUGCUUUCUGCAUUUCAUGUGUAGUUAUGUUAUCAAUUAUUUCCAUUUGAGACACUAUGGAUGGUUGACACAUAAAAUAGAAAGACCAGGCUGGUCGAUCAUCCGUUGCUUUUAUAAGAUGAUGUGGUUGACUGACUUUUGAUGAAUGAAGUAUACACAAAGUGCAGCAGAAAACAAAUUAUAAACGUUGAGGUUCCAGAUAAUUCGUAUUUCUCAAUAAUAUGAAGCUUAUUCGUCUAAGCAUAAUAUAUAUAUUUAGAGUAACCACACUAAUCAUAUCAACUUAAACUUACUCAUAAUUUGCAUGCAACAUAAAAUCACCAAAUCUUAUAUAGAUAAUUUAAACUAUUAAUCUUGUUUAAUUAUAUAUGUAUUCAUCAUUUGAAGUGCUUUAAAAUAUUAAUCAUGAUUAAUUUCAAUAUCUUGGUAUUGAUACAUCACUUCCCAAAUAUGCUUUCCUUUUUUCUUUUUUUCCAUAUAUAGACACUCUUUAAUUAGGAGAUUGUAGCCAGCUAGAUACCAUUGUUGCCAGUCCAAGAGGUGACACUUUGGAGGUUGAAUAGCAUUUUAUUUUCGGGUUUUUUAGUCUUGAGAUGAGUGGCAACAUUAAUUCCUUUGGAUCUGUUGAAUUAGCUUUUGUAUAUAAAAGAAGGUAUCCCUCCUCAAACAUGGCAGAUCCCCUUUCAAACCCAUUAUUUUAAAGAAAAGAAAAUGCUAAUUUAAUAGAAUAGUUGCCAACUAGGGACAAGCUCCAUUGAUGUGACAUUAAUUUUGGUAUAUUCUAACACUUGUUGACUAGAUUCAAUUGGACAGGAUUUUUAAUUUGGAUGAAAUUUAAGGGUAGUGAUUAAACAAUGGAAGUGACAUUGGAGGUUCUAAGUCCCUUUCACCUAAGGGAGAAAUGAGUUUGUUCAAUUGACACAGCUUUGGUACAUACAGAAAGUAAGCUAAUACCAUAGCCAUAUUUCUCAGGUGACUUGCAACAAAUUUGAGACUGAAGUAUGGCAAAAUAUUGGGUAUUUGUAUAAAUUACAAUACAAAUAAAGAAAAAAAAUGAAAGAGACUAAAUAGAAAGGGGAAGUGGAAAGGUCCCCAAAAUCAAUUAAUUGCAAGUGGAAGGAGCAAAGCCCAACUUUGUUGGCAACAAGGUCAUGUUCCCGCAGAUGAUUUUGUUGCAGGGUGUUGUAAAUGAUAUUUACUUCCAGGCUCUGUCUUUUGGCAAAUAGAAGCUGAUAAUGGUUCUCUGGAUCAAGCUCAAAUAUAGCUCCAUCUUCAAUAUGAAUUGCAAAUCCUGGCACUGAUGAGAAAAUCAAGCCUUGUUAUUGCUUUUAAUAAAAGCAAAUAAAAUUUGAAGGGUGUUCAGUUGGGCAAUUACUAGUUCCCAAGUAACAGUUUUAACUGCUACUUUCUUUUACCAAAUUCCCAAGAAACUAUUCUUAGAGCUUCUAGGACUAAGGAACAGACUGGGAGGAGGUGAAGAUAUCGAUUCCAUCAGUAAAACAGUGUUGGUGAACAUGAAAGACAGAAUGUCUUUUUGUUUCAAAUUUCAGAGCUUGUAAGAACUCAUAGAAAAACUUUUCAGUUUGGCAGAUUUUAGAGAGCAAACAUGUUUAAACUGAUGAUCGUUGACUAGUAUGCAAGUCUUCCUUGAAAAGACCAAACUUUUCAGUUUGCGGAGAACUCUUAUUUCUAAUUUUUAUGAUGCUUCAGUGUAGUCAUCUUGUAUUGUCUCUGCGAAUCAUAUAUAUAUACAUAUGACCCCCAAGCAGGCACUUGCAGGGCAUUAAGCUCAAACUGGGACUAAACCACUGGUAUCAAAGCAUAAGAGACAUAAACAUACUGGUCGAUAACUUUUAAUAAUGGCUUGGAGAUGAAAGAGCUAAGUAUACAGUUUGUCAAUUAUCGAGCAUCUAGUACUGACAGAGUUAUUUCAUUUGUGGAAGAAGAUACAUGCUUGUCUGAUGAAGAAUCUUCUUCAAGUGGAUUUUUUUAAAACAAAAUACCAGCUUGUUUGGGGUGUGGCAAUUCAGUUUCACUUCCCAACAUCAGAAUCACAAAUGACGUACUUGGCCUCUCCUCAGGAUGCUGUUGUAAACUUAAAAGACUGAUAAUGGAAGUAUUGUAUCACUUCUGAUAGAUUGCAAAGACUCUCCUAAGCAUUCUUCAACAGGUUUUAAAGGACUGUCUUAUUUCCAUAAUCUCCAUGCCUGCAGCAAAUUGAAACCCUUUUAGGUUUUAUCAAUCCAAGAUAAGCAACAAAAAAUUGAUUAUAAAAAUAUCUGCUGAAACUGACAUGUUCAACAAGGUUGCCGCUCUGUGAUGGAUGGUAAAGCCCUCUAUAUUUUCUUCCCACUUAUUAUCUCCAGCAAUAAUAUACCAAAGCUAAAGAGAUCUGAUUUUACUGAAAGCAGUCCAACAAUAGCAUAUUCAGUGCCAUAUAACCUCUGCAGAACAUUAUCAAGAGAAAUAACUAUCUGAGCAUAUGUAGACAUUAUGAAAAUAAAGUGACACUUACUAAGUUCCAACCACUCUUGCAGUGUUCCCUUCAGUUUGGUUUCCUCCAAAGUUCUAAGCAAUCCAAAAUCUGAAAUUUUUGGAUUCAUCUCACUAUCAAGCAGAACGUUACUAGCUUUGACAUCUCUAUGAAUGAAAAAAAACAUAUUCAAAUGAAAUGGCAAAGAAUCUAAUUAACUCUUUUGAAGAAACUGUGUUUGGAUUUGUUAGCAAAGGAACAGAAUAAGCAUAUUUGUGAAGGAUAUAUCAAAGUUACCAUUCAACUUUGCACGACCUCUGUGAAGGAAAUGACUGACAGUAAACAGCCCGAAAAGCACAACACAGUGGCGUUGCAAUUAAUGCAGGAAGUUUUAUCCUAGGCUUAUCUUUCAAUUCUGUAUGAUGAACUUUGAUAAAGAAAAGCAUACAUGAACAAAAACAAAAAAAGCAGCGAAAACAAGAGAAAAUGUAGACUCAUACCUGAUUCUGAAGCAGACAUUAUUAACAUAUAAGUCCUGCUCUUUUGAUUGAAAUUGUCUAUAAUCAAUCAGAUGAUGAAACCAAAGGGCCCAAACACUACCUCUUCCUCUGUUAUCUGAACUAGUGUAUGCCAUAAGGGAAUAGUUCUGUAGAUACUUAGCCUUGCAUCCCUUGAGUUUCAUAGCUUUAGUCACCUAAGAAAGUGUAGCAUCUGGCAUUUUCAAAUCUUUUAAAUCUGAUAAAUCCAUAUCUGCUUUGGCAGUUGAAUGGCUUAUUCUGUGCUUACACCCUUGGGGUCAGUCUGAUGAGUUCUAUCUUUCAGGGAAUUCAGGCUUAAACAUCAGCUUUCAGGGAAUCAAGGCUUGAAUCCUUUAAAAAGUGGAAGCUGAGUACCAUCACGAUGCCCUUUUGAACCACAAAGUCCAUAUCUGUCAAAAUAGUCUCUUGGAGCAAAUGAGAAAAGCAUCCAAGCUUACUUUCUGCAUUUCAUGUGUAGUCCUGUGAUCAAUGAUUUCUAUUUGAGACACUUAGGAUGGUUGACAUAUAAAAUACAAAUACCAGGUGGGUAGAUCAUGCGUUGUUUUUAUAAGAUGAUGUGAUUGACUGACUUUUGAUAAAUGAAGUAUACAGAAAGUGCAGCAGAAAACAAAUUAUAAACAUUGAGGUUCCAGAUAAUUUAUAUUAUUUAAUGAUUUGAAGCUUAUUCCUCUAAUCAUUCUCUUCACUGGACAAACAUAACUUCAAUGACUUACUUGCAUUAAAUGAUUUCCAAUUCAUGAACCAUUUGAGACCAGUGUGGAUGUGUUGUCUCACAUCUGAUAGGUUGCAGGAUAGUCCUAAGAAUUGAUCACCAAGUUCAACAGGGGUGCCUUCGUUCCUCCCAUUAUCUCCAAGCCUGCAGCAAAUUGAAAACCUUUUAGUCAUUUUGUUAUAUCUUUCAACAUUUUAAUUCAUAAUAAUCAAAGAAUUUUUGAAACAUGCGAGUGAAAAUGAAAAUAAAGGAAACGGGUGGGAAGGUGUAAUAGGAGGGGAUGUAGGAAAUGUCACAUAGCAAUUGGCGGAGAAAUGCAGAUUGAAGGGUGUUGAGUUGGAGAUUUAUUUUUAUAUUAAAAAAUAAAAAAUUAAAGACUUGGUUUUAUUUUGAUAUUAAAAAAGAGUAAUUAUUUAGCAAAUGAGAAAUUCGGAGAUAAAAAUAAACUCACAAUGUUUGUUUGCAGUUUUUAAUAAGAAGCAAGAGCCUUGCAACCACAUUUAAUCAAACACCUCUUCUACAAUUCAGACAUAAAGCUAGCCUUGUACCAUCCAAAAAAUAUUCAACAAAGGGAGAAAGGACAUCCUUAGCAUCAGGCUGAUCCCAUUCCACUGAUUCCCACCAUUCUCUCGGCCAUACUGUGAUUCCUUUUAGAGAAGGAGGAGGAGAUGGUUUCCCAUUUUCAACAAGGGGAAGAGACAAAGGGAUCCUCUUUACCGCUCUACACCCCGAUAUGACAAGAUGUUGGAGAGAAUCUGCAGGAAUCAUAAGUCCACCGCUACAAAUGCUUUUCAAUUUUGGUAAGUUAAUCAAGAAUAAUGAUUUUAAUUUGGGAAGAAUAAAUGUUGUUCCUUCUUCUUUCUGAUUUUCUUCUGAUGCUAUUAUUUCCUCCAUUUCUUCACAACCUCGGACAUAAAUUUCCUCUAAGUUUUGGAGGCUCUUCAACGGCUCGAUUGUAAGCAACUUCUUCACCCUCGAACAACCAAUCACAUAUAAUUGUUUAAGAGAAGAGAAGGCAGGUGGUGUUGGAGCAUGAGAGGUAGAUUCAAAUUCAACCGCUACUCCUACUUCUACUCCUACUCUCACAACUUCACGCAAGUUGCGUAAGAAACAUAGUUGUAACACCUCAAUGUUGUGAAGUGCGUCGCAAGACGAUAAUGACAAGUCAACCACACACUCUAUCCCAGAACACUUCCUAAUUUGACAUAACUUCAAGUCAGGUGCCUUAUGAAACAAAGGAAUAUUGCUUAAACAUUUGAAAUCAUUACACUCCUCAAUAAGUAAAGGGUGAAGGUCAUUUGGGAGCACUAUAUCAUCACACCUCUCUAUCUCCAAAUUUCUAAAUUCAACCUUUUUCUUAAUUUCUUUGAAAUCUGGGAAUCCCCGAUAUAAAUACCCUUAAGUGGUCCCACUUGAAAAAAGAAAGAUGGAGGCCAUUUACCUUGUGCAGACUUUACAUAUUUCUUAAACUCUUGCAUGUUGCGAAAUGAACAUGAAACCCACUCAAGGUUCCUCAAUUUGCCCACUUCUUCCCCUCUUAAAUGUAACUCUCCCAGCAAGCAUUGCAGAUGAGAAAUCUUCACUAAUAUUCCUAUUGGUAGCUCCUUUAGAUGCCUUGACCUUAGACGAAAAUAUCUAAGGUUUUGUAACAUUUCUAUACCAUGAGGAAGCUCUUCAAUUCCUGUACCAUAAAGGUCCAACUUUCUCAGUGCUCUGAGCUCUGCUAAUGAAGGCACAUAUUUUAACCUGCCACAACUAGCAAGUAUCAAUGCAUCGAGGUUUUUCAAGUUAGAGAUGGAAUUGGGUAGAUCCUCCAAGUAAUAAUUACUAUAAAGAUUUAGAACUUUUAGUCUAGGCAUGUGCUUAAAGAAAGAUUCAGGAAUACUUUUUAAGCCACAUUGUUGCAAAAUCAAAGUUGACAAAUGAGGACACUCAGGUGAUAUGUGAGGAGGGAUUUCUAUUAAUUUUGAAUUUUGCAUCAAAGAAACCUUCUCAACACUCACUGUCCAUUCUUGCUCACUUGGGAAUUCUUUCAAUUGCAUACCUGCUUUUACCAUGAACUGAUGACCUUUAAUAUACAACGCCAUGUCCCUCAAAACAUCAUGCAUCUUAACUCCUUCUUUGCGACUCCUAGUUGUAGCCCUCUCUAGCAAGCAAUUAUUUUCAAGCUUAUUUAAAAUGCUAUGGCCUCUGUCAUGCAUUUCUUGUCUAGUCCUUAAGCCAUCAAGGAGUCCUUCAUCUAUCCAAUUUUCAAUUAAUUCAACUUCUCCAAUCACAAAAUCUUCAGAAUACAAGGAGCAAUAUAAGAAACAAUUUUGAAUUUUUGGAUCUUUCAAAUAGUCAUAACUGAACUUCAAACGCUCAAAUAUUUCAACAUCCGAUCCUUUCACACUUUUCACACGCUCUUUUAAUUCCAUUAAUGCAUUUCUCCACUCACAAAUAUCAUUUACCCCCUUCAUGCUUCCAGCUAUUGUGACAAUGCUAAGUGGUAAACCACCACAUUGCUCAACAAUUUUGUUGACAAUGUCUUUUAAAUUUUGAUCUUGUACAACACCAUGCCCCACACGAUCUAAGAAUAAGUUCAUGGACUCUGUCUUUGAAAGCGGUUGCACUUUGACCACCUUACAAUCCAUAGAUUGGCAGACCUCAAUCAAUCUACUAGUGAGUACAACUUUCCUCCCCAUACCUAUUGUUGGUUCAGGGAUACCCACAUCCAAUAGAGAAAACCGUUUCCAAACAUCGUCUAAGAUCAACACAUAUCUUUUUCCCUCCAAAAUAUCUUUUAAUGUUGAUGCUCUUUGCAGUUCAUCAUAUUUUGGAAGAGACUCUUUCAAAGAAUCUGCAAUAUCUUUUUGCAAUCUAAAAAUAUUCAAUUCUUUUGAUACAGUGAUCCAUAUCACUUGAUCAAACUUCUCACUUUCCUUUAACAAUCGAUUGUUGAUAUGCUUCAUGAUAGUAGUUUUCCCUAUACCACCCAUUCCACAUACUCCAAUCAUUCCAACCUUAUUACCCAUCAAAUACUCCCAAAUUUGUUCUUUUACAUCGAUUUCACCUUCUAGAUUUGGUGUUGGUAACAUCACCCCGGUGGUUGGAGGCCCAUCAACUGCCACAUUGUUAGGGAAACUACCGUUUUGGUGAAUUUCCUUUACCUCUUCAAUCAUUCGGCAAACAAAUUUUCCAAGACGACCACGUAAGAAGUAUGAAACAACAUGGAACUUGGUUUCAAUCUCUUCCAUUUCAGUGUUAACCUUUUCUACAGCUUUAAACCAGUACUCCACUUCUUCCCUCACCACUUUUCUGUGACGAAGCUCCUCUUCCUUUCUUGAUAUGAGGUCUCUCUUUCGGAUGUUUAAAACAUUCACUUUUUCUCGAAGAUCAUUCAUAUGUUCUUCAAGUUUUCGGUGAUGGUCAAUGUAUGUACAGGUUGGACCACCAAAGCACUUUAUCACUUCAAAAAUUUGCCCUAUAAGCUCCAUAUAAGCUAUUCCCUAGAGAUUAAACCAAGAUAUAUUAGAUCUCCAUAUGACAUAAGCUACUCCCUCCCUAAACUACAAUUCUAUAUUUUUCAUAUAAUACAGAAUAUGUUAGAAAAAAAUCUUACUAAUUAAAAUUUUUUUACCAAUUCUUCUUAAGAAAAAACAUAAUAUUUUUGAAAACAUUAUAAAAAACAAGAAGUUUUUGUUUCCGUCACUUAAUUACUAUAAUUAUUUUCCACCUAAUUAAGAGAAAAGAAGCAUGACAUAGACCAAUGAACAAAAAUAAUUAUGUGAAAGGAAAGAUGAUGAACCUAUGUUAUGAAUCUAAAACAUGAAUCCAAAUCAAUAUUAAACAAUUUAAUUUAUCUAGUCAAGUGAGGCAGAUGAGCUGGUACUUCUUCUAUUCUUAGAGUUUCUUGAUUAAGUUUGUAAAAGCAGAUCUCCUUGCAAAAAAUUGUCAAGAAAAUAGCAUCAAGCAGAUCUCCUUCCAAAAUAUCCUCUAUGAGAAGAAAAUGAGUAAUGAAGCACAUGAAUUAUUGAAAAGUGGGCAAGAUUAAUAUUUAUGUAAGAAACUAAAAUAAAUGCCCAAUUUGUGUCUUAAUAUUUAUAUAAAACUUAUGAUAAGAUGAAUUUGUGUUAUAAUUUAAGAUUUCGAUUAAUUAAUGUUAUCAAAGAUAAAACUAAAUCAUAAGUAUAGACAACCUACUUAAUUCCGUGAGGCAGGGAAGUGAUACUUCUAUCUUCAGAAGGCCCUUAAUAAAUUUGAGAAACAAGCCCAAUCAAGAAAAAUAGCAAUAACAAAUAGAUUAUCUCCUUGCGAAAAAGAAAAUCCUGAUCCUCCGAGAGAAGAGAAUUAUUGAAUUAUGAAGCAGAAAAGAAUUAAAGUCGGCAACUCAAUGCAAAGUUGAAUUAUUUUCAACCUAAUUAGGCAAAAAAGGAAAAAGAAUAGAAGCAUAAAAUAAAGAGAAAGACCCAAAAGAAAGUUUUAUGGAGUUUGUUGAAAGAUGAAUUUAUGGCAGAAGGUAAGAUUCAGAGAUGGUACCAAAGAUGAAAAAUAUAAGCGUAGAUACUUCAGCUUGUUGAUAUCACUAAGCAGAUCUCCUUGCAAAUUCCUGUGUAAUGAGAAGAGAAGGAAUUAUGAAGCAAAUAAGUCAAUGCAAGUCAUGACAUUGGUUUCGGGGUCACUUCCCUUAAAGCUGCUUUGAAAUAAAGAAAAUAUAAAUAAAAUAAAAGAUGAUGAAGUGAGCCUGAACACUCGUUCAUUUUUCUUAAAGAAACAAUAAUCUAAGUUAGGACAAAAAGGAAGCAUCCGAGAAGGAUCCUGCGUAAAUUUUUACCAUUAAAUUACUUUGUGAAAAGACAAAGUUAGGUGCGAAUUGAGCACAAGGAAAGAUGAAGCAAUUAAAAAUUCAUCCAUUGUGUUAGUGGCGAAAUAAAAUAAUGAAAAGUUAGAGAAAUAGGGAGUCAUGAUUAGUGACUUGUGGGGUAGUAAUUGGAUUCCCCUUCUAGGUGUUUUGUGUUAUGCCAUAAACUUAUUACAUUAAUCUGAAUUUAUAAUUUAUAAAGAGAAUUAUUUCAACCUGAAAACUGAAAAAUAAGUAUCCCAAUCUGCAAUAGAAUGAUUUGACUAUGCACAGAAUGUGCAUAAGCUAUGAUCUACUGAAUGUAGUCCAUUUUAUAAGGGGACAAGAAACGAAUUGCCCUGUUCUUUGAUGGAGCUUCAGCAUCAUGCUUCAACCAGAAGUUUUCUACUGAGUUAACCGGAUUGUUAGUUCCUUGAUUGAUUUUCUAGUUAAUGAGCCAUAUCAGAUUACUUAGACUUGAGAAAUAGAAUUUCAACUUCUAAGGUUCUAAAUGUGACUAGUUCACAAAAUAUAUAGAAAUAUAAGGUACAAGAAGAUGAUGAUGAAGAUCAUUAAGUAAAGAUAUUGAUGAAGUGUGACGGUCAUUUCAUUGUUGAAGAUGAUUCAUGGCCGCCCCGUGGAACUGCUUCAAAAUAGUUCUUUUCAGAUAGUCCUAAAUAAUUGCUGCUGCACACACAACAGACAAAUGUGGAUGCAGCUUAUCACUUCUGAUAGAGCAGAGGACUCCCCUAAGAAUAUGGAUCAUCUGCUAGUUCAAAUUGUCUUGACUCUUUCCACAAUCUCCAUUCCUGAUACAUAUCAAAACCAUUUUGUCAUUUAUUAGUUUGAAAACUUAAUUAGUUAAAUGAUAAUACAUUGCACAACACUUACAUGUCCAACAAGGCUCAACAUUGGUUGAUAAAACCUUCUAUUCUUCUCUCCACAUAUUAUCUCCAGCAAUAGCCAAAUAUAGUACCCAUCAACAAGUGGGUUAAUUUAUCCUUACCCCAUCAACCUUAAGUUAAGCUUUUGUUUUGGUCUGAUAGUUUAGGUGCACAAUCGAUCAAGAAGUGGAAUUUUUUCUGUCAAUAGCAAAAAUUAAAAUCAGAAACUGUUUUUUGACCAAGAAAAGAAGCAAAUAAUUGAAAUUUUGUAGUUUUAAGAAGGAAGCAAGACGAUUACCAGACGAGAAGCUGUGUUCAGCCAAAUGAAAAGGCAAUAGCAUUUCCUUAGCAUUAGGAUCAUCCCAUUCCAGUGAUUCCCACCAUUCUUCUGGAUAUAAAACGAUUUGCUCAACAGGAGGAGUGGGAGGAGAUGGUAGUCCAUUUUCAAGCAGGGGAAGAGAUAAGGGGAUCCUUUUUAACUUCGGACAUUCUAUUACCUCAAGAUAUUGACGAGAGUUUGUUGGAAUCAUAAGUCCAAAAACCACAAAUGCUUUUCUGCUCUGGUAAUUUCAACAAGGAAAGUUUCCUUAAUUUGGGAAGAAUAAAUGUUAUGUGGUAAUUGCCCUUCCUGCCUCAAUUUCCUCCAACUUUUGAAAACCCUACAGCAGCUUAAUUGAACACAACUUCUUCAUACUCGAACAGUUUCUCAAGCAAAACCUUUUGAGAGAAGAGAAAAUGGGAGGUGGUGUUGGGAUGUGAGAUGGAGAUACACAUAGAUUCAUGGUUUUCAUGAAUAAGAUAAAAAUGUUAUGAUCACCAUUUAAACAUAAUAUAUAUAUUAUAUAUAAUAUAUAUAUAUAUUAGAGUAAUCACACUAAUCAUAUCAAAUUAAACUUAUACUCAUAAUUUGCGUGCAACAUCAAAUCACCAAAUCUUAUACAGAUAAUUUAAACUAUUAAUCUUGUUUAAUUAUAUAUGUAUUCAUCAUUUGAAGGGCUUUGUAAAUUUAUAAAGUAAACAACAAUAAGCAAUAAUUAUGUUUAUUUUCAAUAUCUUGGUAUUGAUACAUCACUUCCCAAAUAUGCUUUCCUUUUCUUUUUCAUACAUAGACAUUGUCUUGUUUGGAGAUUGUAGCUAGCUAGAUACCAUUAUUGCCAGUCCAAGAGGUGACACUUUGGAGAUUGAAUAGAAUUUAAUUUUCAGGUGUUUUGGUCUUGAGAUGAGUGUCAACAUUAAUUCCUUUGGAUCUCUUGAAUUAGCUUUUGUAAAUAAAAGAAGGUAUCCCUCCUCAAACAUGGAAAAUCCCCUUUCAAACCUAUAAUUUUAAAGAAAGAAAAUCCUAAUUUAAUAGAUUAGUUGCCAACUAGGGACAAGCUCCGUUGAUGUGACAUUAAUUUUGGUAUAUUCUAACACUUGUUGACUAGAUUCAAUUGGAUAGGAUUUUUAAUUUGGGUGAAAUUUACGGGUACUGAUUAAACAAUGGAAGUGACAUUGGAGGUUCUAAGUCCCUUUCACCUAAGAGAGAAAUGAGUUUGUUCAAUUGACACAGCUUUGGUACAAACAGAAAGUAAGCUAAUACCAUAUCCAUAUUUCUCAUGUGACUUGCAACAAAUUUAAGACUGAAGUAUGGCAAAAUAUUGGGUAUUUGUAUAAAUUACAAUACAGAUAAAGAAAAAAAAAAAAGAAAGAGACUAAAUAGAAAGGGGAAGUGGAAAGAUCCCCAAAAUCAAUUAGUUGCAAGUGGAAGGAGCAAAGCCCAACUUUGUUGGCAACAAGGUCAUGUUCCCACAGAUGAUUUUGUUGCAGAGUGUUGUCAAUAAUAUUUACUUCCAAGCUGUCUUUUGGUAAAUAGAAGCUGAUAAUGGUUAUCUGGAUCAAGCUCAAAUAUAGCUCCAUCUUCAAAAAUGAAUUGCAAAUCUUGACACUGAUGAGAAAAUCAAGCCUUUUUAUUGCUUUUAAUAAAAGCGUAUAAAAUUUGAAGGGUGCUCAGUUGGGGAAUUACUAGUUCCCAAGUAAUAGUUUUAACUGCUACUUUCUUGUACCAAAUUCCCAAGAAACGAUUCUUAGAGCUUCCAGGACAAAGAAACCAAGCUUAAGGAUUCCAUCCAUCACUAACAGACUGGGAGGAGGUGGAGAUAUCGAUUCCAUCAGCAAUACUUAAAAACAAUAUUAGCAAAAUGGUGUUGGUGAACAUGAAAGACAGAAUGUCUAUUUGUCUCAACUUUCAGAGCUUGUAAAACUUAUAGAAAAACUUUUCAGUUUGGCAGAUUUUAGAGAGCAAACAUAUUUAAACUGAUGGUCGUUGACUAGUAUGCAAGUCUUCCUUGAAAAGACCAAACUUUUCAGGUUGCACAGAAUUCUUAUUUCUGAUUUUUAUGAGGCUUCAGUGUAGUCAUCUUGUAUUGUCUCUGUGAAUUGUAUAUACAUAUUAUACCCCCAAGUGGGCACUUGCAGGGUGCUAAGCUCAAACUGGGACUAAACCACUGGUAUCAAAGCAUAAGGGACAUAAACAUACGGAUCGAUAGCCUAUAAUAAUGGCUUGGAGAUGAAAGAGCUUAAGUAUACAGUUUAUCAAUUAUCGAGCAUCUAGUACUGACAGAGUUAUUUCAUUUGUGGAAGAAGAUACAUGCUUGUCUGAUGAAGAAUCUUCUUCAAGUGGACUUUUCUUAGACAAAAUACCAGGUUGUUUGGGGUGUGGCAAUUCAGUUUCACUUCCCAACAUCAGAAUCACAAAUGACAUACGUGGCCUCUCCUCAGGGAUUUUGUCAUUUAUCAGUUAGAAAUGUUGAAAAUCUCAAGGAUUUUGUUAUAUUUGCAGACCAUUAUCUGUUAAAAUGAUAAAGAUAAAACGAGAGAGAAAAUAUAAUUGAACACAAAGUCUCCCUACAGUCUUUUCAUUCAACAAUAACACUUAUAAAUACAUUUACAGGAGAGAGAAGACAACAAUAAAAUAAAACAACACGUAAAGUAAAAUAACUGCACAAUAUCCAUAUCUUACAUAAUCACCUACUUUACAAUACAAACCCACUACCUAACAUAACAAUAACUGACUCAACAUGACAAUAAUUGUAAAAGAGAAAAUAAACUGAUAUUAACUAAUAAAUUAAAAAAUUGUUGAGAAUAACUGAAUCUGAUUCUUCAAGUCAAAUCUCAUUCUUCAACAAAACUUGAUUAGUUAAAUGAUAAUACAUUUCACAACACUUUUAUGUCCAACGAGGCUCAACACUUUUGUCUGGUUGAUAAAAGCUUCUAUUUUACCUUCCACAAAUUAUCUCCAGCAAUAAUAUACCAAAGCUAAAUACACUACCCAUCAAGAAGUGGGUUAAAUUAUCCUUAACCCAUCAACAUUAAGUUAAGCCUUUGUUUUGGUCUGAUAGUUUAGGUGCGCAAUCGAUCAAGAGGUAGAAUUUUUUCUGUCAAUAAUAAAAAUUAAAAUCAGAAACUAUUUUUUGACAAAAAACAGAAGCUAAUAAUUGAAAUUUUGUAGUUUUAAGAAGGAAGCAAGACGAUUACUAGACGAGAAGCUGUGUACAGCCAAAUGAAAAGGCAAAAGCAUUUCCCUAACAUUAGGAUCAUCCCAUUCCACUGAUUCCCACCAAGUAAUUGUUUGGCCCUUGAUCCAAUAUAGACUUGGUGUAUUCUACUGAGAUUUGUAAAUUUAUUUUCUUAAAUUGAAAGCACUGUUGUGAAGAUUUUUCCCUUUCGAAAUGAUUGGUUUUUCAAUGUCAGACAAAUUAAGAAUACACCAUACUUUAGAAAUGGAAACAUAUAUAAACUACUUAUUAAAUUACUACAACAUCAAGCAAAUUACUGUAAUGAACAAGUGAUAAUGAAGUCAAUAUAAUCCAAGAAGAUAGAUUGAAGGGAGUUCAGUUGGCUAAUUGAUGCAGAGAAUAUUUGGAGCAGACUGGGUUAAUCCUUGUCCAAAACUCCUUGAAAGCCUCUUCAUAGCAAUUUCCUGUGACCAUUUACUAAGAUAGAUUGAAAGACCGCCUGCAAAUAGGAGAGAAGAAAAUGUUGAUGUAACGACCCAAGUCCAAUCACCGGCCCAGCAACUUUUCGAACCUAAACCAAUCACUGGCCUAGCAACUUUUCGAACCUAAACCACAUGGCCCUUAAAAGCUUAAGCUUAAGUUACUAGUAGUGAUGGACUUGGAUUGUUAUAUAGGUAUUAACAAUCAUAUUCAUAUUAGACGUGAGAUUUGAGGUAUCACAAUCCGACCCAUUCAGAUCCUUGAUGUCAUCAUCAAGACCACACAUCACAUUCACGAGACCAAGAUCUCAUUAGAGCAAUGUGAAAGCUCACAUCGGACUAGCGCAAGCUCUUAUACCAUUUGUAAUGACCCAAGUCCAAUCAUUGGCCCAGCAGCUUUUCGGACCUAAACCACAUGUACCUCAAAAGUUGAAACUCAAGUUACUAGUAAUGAUGGACUUAGAUUGUUAUAUAAGUUUUAACAAUCAUAUUUAUAUCAGAUGUGGGAUGUGAGGUAUCACAAUGAACUUGAGUUUAAGUUUUUGAUGACCAUGUGGUUUAAGUCUAAAAAGCUGUUGGGCCAGUGAUUGGAUUUGAGUCAUUACAAAUGGUAUCAGAGCCUACGCCAGUCCGAUGUGAGUUUUCACAUUGCUCUUAUGAGAUCUUAUUCUCGUGGAUGUGAUGUAUGGCCUUGAUGAGAACAUCAAAGAUUUGAGUUGGUGGGAUUGUGAUAUCUCACAUCCCACAUCUGAUAUGAAUGUGAUUGUUAAAACCUAUAUAACAAUUCGAGUCUAUCACUACUAGUAACUUGAGCUUAACUUUUUAAGGACCAUGUGGUUUAGGUCCUAAAAGCUAUUGGGCCAAUGAUUGGACUUGGGUUGUUACAGUUGAUUAACAUCAACAAGUACAUCCCCUAGAUAAAUGAAUAAAAAUAAACACAGAAUGUGGAUAAAAAUAAACUGAGACUAUUUGCAGUUUUAAGAAAAAACGUUGAGGACUUUACCGAUGUGAACCGUCGAGCCACAUUUAAUGGAGUAGAUUUUCUCCAUCUCAUUCUACCAAAUAAAAACAAAGGGAGAAAAGACAUGCUUAGCAUCAAGGUGAUCCCAUUGCACUGAUUCCCACCAUUCACUCUGGCUUACAUUGAUUUCUUCUAGAAAAGGAAGAGGACAUGGUUGCCCAUUUUCAAAAAGGGCAAGACACAAAGGGAUCCUCUUUAGAUUUGGACAUUUCCAUAUUCGAAGAUUUCGGAGAGAAUCUGUAGGAAUCACAACUCCACCACUGUAAAUGCUUUUCAAUUUUGGUAAGUAGAUCAUCCAUAAUGAUUUUAAUUUAAGCAGAAUGAAUGUUGUUCUUUCUCCUUUACGAUUUUCUUCUUAUUCUGAUGCUAUUAUUUCCUCUAUUUCUUUAUAGUCUUCAACUUUAAUUUCCUGUAAGUUUUAGAGACCUUGCAACAACUCAAUUGGGAACAACUUCUUCAUCUUCCAACACAAAUCUAGAUGCAAUAAUUUAAGAGAAAAGAAGAUGGUAGGUGGGGUUAGAGGAGGAGAGGUAGAACCAAAUUCAAGCGCUACUCUUACUCUCACAUGUUCAUGCAAGUUCCACAAUGACUUAAGGAAUAUCUUCUUAAUGUCAUCAAGUGUGUUGCAAGGCGACAAUGACAAGUCAACCACACACGCCGUCCCUUUACACUCCUCAAUUUAACAUAUCUUCAAGUUAGUUGCCUUACGAAACAAAGGAAUAUUGCUUAAACAUUUGAAAUCAUUACACUUCCCAAUACGUAAAGUAUGAAGGCCAUUUGGGACUAGUGUAUCUUCUAUUUUCUCCAUCUCACAAUGCAUGAAUGUUAUCUGCUUUUCAAGUUUCUCUAAAUUUUGGACAGGUAGACUAUGUAAAACCUCAGAUGAUCCUACUUCAGGAUAAAGAUUUUUAGGCCAUUUACCUUGUAUAGACUUUGCAUAUCUUGAACUCUUACAAGUCACAAAAUGAACAUGAAAGAAUCUCAAGCUUCAUCAAUUUGCCUUCUUCUUCUCCCAUUAAAUGCGGCCCUACUAUUAAGCAUUGGAGAUGAGACAUCAUCAGCAAUAUUCCUACAGGCAGCUCUUUUAUAUUAGAUGACCAUAGACGGAGAUAUCUAAGGAUUUCUAACUUUUUUAUUCCAUGAGGAGCCUCUUCAAUUCCCAUAUACAAAAGGUCCAACUUUUUAAUGCUCUAAGCUUUGCCGAGGAAGGCACACAUUUUAAUAUGUAACAACAAAAAAGUAUCAAUGCAUUAAGAUUUUUCAAGUUACAGAUGGAAUUGGGUAGAUCUACAAUCUGAGUACGAGAAAGAUCUAAAACUUUUAGGUCAGACAUGUACUUAAAUAAAGAUUCUGGAAUCCUUCUUAAGCCACAGUUUUGCAAUAUCAAAGUUGACAAACGAGGACAUUCAGGUGAUAUGUGAGGAGGGAUUUCUAUUAAUUUUGAAUUGUCUAAUAUCAAGGAAACCUUCUCAACACUCAUUGUCCAUUCCUGCUUAAUUGGUAGUUCCUUUAAUUGCAUGUAUUGAUGACCACUACUUUUAACAUACAAUGCCACGUCUCUCAAAACAUCAUGCAUCUUAACUUCUUCCGUAUAAUCAGUUGUAGUCCUUUUUAACAAGCAAUUAUUUUCAAGCUUAUUUAAAAUGCUAUGGCCUUUGUCAUACAUUGCUUGUCUAGUCCCUAAGCUAUCAAGGAGUCCCUCAUCUAUCCAUUUUUCAAUUAAGUCUGUUUUUCUAAUUCUAAAAUCCUCAAGAUACAAGGAGCAAUAUAAGAAAUGAUUUUGGAUUUCUAGAUCUCCCAAAUGGUCAUAAUUGAACUUUAAACACUCAAAUUUUUCAAUGUUCGACCCUUUCACAAUUUUCACUUGCUCCUCUAAUUCAUUUAGUGCAUUCCUUCACUCACAAAUAUCAUCUACUUCUACCCCUUUUAGGCUACUAGCCAUUGUCACAAUGAAAAGUGGUAAACCGCCACAUUGCUCAACAAUUUUGUUGACAAUAUCUUUUAAAUUUUGAUCUUGUAUAACACUAUACCCCACACAAUCUAAGAAUAUAUUCAUGGACUCUUUUUUUGAAAGCGGUUGCACUUUGACCACCUCACAACCCAUAGAUUUAUAGACCUCAAUUGAUGUACUAGUGAAAACUACUUUCCUCCCCAUACUUAAUGUUGGUUUUGGGAUUUCCUCAUUUAGUAGAGAAAGUCAUUUCCAAACAUCGUCUAAGAUCAACACAUAUCUCUUUUUCUCUAAAAUAUCUUUUAAUGUUGCUACUCGUUGCAAGUCAUCUACUGGAAGAGAUUAUUUCAAAAAAUUUGUAAUAUCUUGUUGCAAUUUGAAAAUAUUCAAUUCUUUUCAUAUAGUGACCCAUAUCACUUGAUCAAAUCAAUUAUCCUUCAACAAUUGAUUAUUGAUAUGCUUCAUGAUUGUAGUUUUCCCUAUACCACCCAUUCCACAUACUCCAAUCAUUCCAACCUCUUCACCCAUCAGAUACUCUGAAAUUUGCUCUUUCAUAUUGAUUUCACCCUCUAGAUUUGGUGUUGCUAAUGUCAUCCCAGCAAUUGAAGGCCCAUCAACCGCCACACCAUCAGGGAAACAACCUUGUUGGUAAAUUUCCAUUACUCCUUCAAUCUUUCCGCAAAGAAAUUUUCCUAGAUGGCCGCAUAAUAAGUAUGAAACAGCACAGAACUUCUUUUCAAUCUCUUUCAUUUCAGUCUUUACCCUUUGUACCUCUUUAAACCAGUUCUCCACUUCUUUCUUCACCUCUUUUCUGUGACGAAGCUCCGCAUCCUUAAUGGAUUCAACAUCUUUCUUUCGAGAUUUCAAAGCAUCCACUUUCCUUCGAAGCUCAUUCAUAUGUUCUGCAGGUUUUCGAUGAUGAUCUAUGUAUCUAUAGGUUGGAUCCCAAAAAUACUUUAUCACUUCAUAAAUUAGCCCUAAAAAGUCCAUAUAAGCUACACCCUAUAAUUUAAUAAACCAACUUAUAUUACAUCUCUACAUGAUAUAAGCUACUCCCUGUACUAAAAUUCAAUAAAAUAAUAUGUAGCCUAUACGUUACAAAAAAAAUGUUACAAAAUAAUAAAUUUUUAAUUUCAAAAUUGGAAGACUAAAUUUACUAUAUGUGAUUUUUUUAUAUAUUUUACACAUUUAAUACGAAUUCAAAUGAGAUUAGGCAAGAAUUUGUAAUUGUUAGCCUAAGUGAACAUAGAAUGACCAUUUAAUGUUAAAUAUUCAAAUUCAAAAAUGGAUAUUGUCACCCAAAAAUGUAUUUGCUAGCAUAACUCAAAUAAAAGGAAAACUUUAUAAUAUUAAAAUUUGCAUUGAUUUCACUGUUUUCUCUACCAAUUGUUUCAAAUAGCGUUUAUUGCUAUUAAUUUUUUUGACCAUGACUCCUAAUUUGAUUUUUGUUUCAUACUUAUUACUUAUUUAAUUGUUCACAUUCAUAAUUCAGAGUUUACCUUAUAUGGUUACUUCAACUUUACCUCUUAAAAUAUGAGAUAUCUUGAAAUUAAUGCUAUAAAUUGCAAAUUUUUUCUACUUACUUGGUAUGUUUUUGUUAAAGAUUAUAUAUAGUUUCUUAGGCUAUUCUCCACUCAUAUUUAGUUUCUAUGUUUCCCUAAUCCAAAUUUCCAUCAUCAAAAGUUUGAUUUCUUCUUUUUGCAGACCUCUUUGAAUUAUUCAAUUUUGUCUAUAUAUGUAUUUUGACCUCAUUGAUUUAUAAUUAUUUAGUAGUUAUGUAUUUCAACCUCUUUAAUGAACUAUUCAAUUUCUUAAUUUAUUUUCUUUAGUCAAUUGUUUUACUGUAUUCAUAUGAGUAGAUUUUCAUCAGAAUCAUUUAAUCUUCUAAGACGUUAUUCAUUAACAUGGAUACUUCCAACUUAAUUUUUUUUUACAUUCUACUUUAUAUUUUAAAUUCUUAAAAAUUAUUAUAAAAUAAAAUUAUCACCUGUGCAUUGCAUGGGGAUAAAUCUAGUUUUUGAUAAUAAUAAACAUCAUCUUAACCAAUAAUAAUGAUAAUAAUAAAUAUCAAAGACCCAAGCAAAUAUUAAUCAUUUUGAAUUGAUAGUCCUAAAUAUUUUCAAUUGUGGAUUAAUAAAAUCUAAACAUGAGUAAGGAAUAUAUAUAUUACAUCUUUUUGAUAAUUAAAACAACAAAGCUUGUGACAACAACAAUAUAUCAUAAAAAGAUAUUUAAGAAAUGAUAGAAAGAAUAAAUUGAGAGAAUAGAAUGAUAUUUAGGGUCCGUUCGUUUUGCAGUAAAAUAUUUUCCGGAAAAUAUUUUCAGGACUUAUGCUUGUUUGGUAGAUGGAAAAUUAAUUUCAGAUGUAAAACAUUUUACGAGUUAAUAGGGUUAACCAUGGAAAAUGUCUUAUACGCUUGAAUGGCGUAAGACAUUUUUCAAAGAACAACAAAAACACUUUUAUGCUAAGUUUAUGAUUAUAAGUUUGAUGAAUAUUAAUAUUUAACUUAAAAUAUUAAAAAAAUAAAAAUAUUAAUAUUUAACUUUAAAAUAAUUACUUUAAAAUAUUAAUAUUUAAAUUAUACAAUACUAUUAAAAUUAAAAAAAAUAUUAUUGUAAUGAAACCAUUCAAUACAAUUAAAUUUUUUAUUUAUAAAUGGAAUAAAUCUUAUUAAUAAUUAUAAUAAAAAAUAUUUCAAUGAUCAUUAUUUGAUUAAUACACAUUUAUAAUAGUUUUAAAUCUUACUAAUAAUUAUAAUUAAAAAUAUUUCAAUGAUCGUCAUUUAAUGAAUACACAUUUAUAAGCAUAGAUUUAGGAUAUCUUACACAAUUGAUAAAUAUUUACAUUUUAUAGUUAUGAUAAAAAAGUGAUAAAAUGGAAAUUUUUUUGAAAAUUAGAGUUUAUUUUCAUCACAGAUAUGUGGUUAAAUGNGAAAUUUUUUUUUAAAUUAGAGUUUAUUUUCAUUACAGAUAUGUGGUUAAAUGCUUUGAGAAAUAUCAUUAUUGAUUUUGUCCAUUUUCAUCUUCAUUCUUAAUUUUGAUCCCAAAUUAGUGAAAAUCAAAUAUCAAUAUUGUUUUGUAAUCAACUCCUAUUUAUUAUUUUAACGCCUAAAUAAGUCCACCAUAAUGAAAAAUAUUUUUCAUAAAAUGAUCCAAACAACUGAAAAUGUUUUCGAUAGUUUAUCCAAAUAAUAAAAUAUAUUAAAUUUUCCUAUAAAAUAUUUUACAUAGGAAAAAUUUUCCUUCAGUAAGUCAAUUUACGAUUACCAAACGGACCUUAAAGUACCUGGUUUCCUUUUCAAAUUAUUUGGAAAGACCAAGAAUAGAGGUUAAGUAGAUGAACUGCAAAUUAAUCCCCUUGGCUCCUUGCGUUAAGUAGAAAUUUUUGUGGAAAAUUAAAAAUCUUAUUUUUAACACCAGUAGUGUUAAUUCAAAUUUAUACUUGUACCAAUUCAAAUUUAUAUUUAAGAGGAGAAUCAAUCCAAUCUGAAGAGUGAAAAAGUCUUGAAUUAAUUCCUUGUUGCUGAUGUAGAGAGAUGUAGUUGUAGAAGAAACUAUGCAUAGAAGGAACAAGUUUAGCCCUUGAAAAGAGCCUUGUGGAUGGCUCUUGAUCUUUACACAAAUGCUGCAGAGAACUUGUAAAUGAUGAGCUUGCAUGGAAUUUGUAUAUCUUAAUCAUAUGAAGCUUCAGUUUGGUCCUUCAAUUUCUCUAUCUAUGAAAUAAACACAAGGCAUUGUAUAUGAACUAUUCUAUACAUCUCAACUCUUCUUGGACAUAGAGAAAACCACCUUCAACUUGCUUUGAAAUUUCCUUCCUUGGUACAUGAUGCUGUCAAGUUAAGAACAUUGAAAAAUAGGAUUCAACCUUGCAAUCUAUAUUGACAUGAGGUUAACAUAAUUCUAAUCCAGUAUUGCAACUCCAUUACUGUCGACUCAAUCUGUAAUUAAUUUAAACAUAAGGGAAAGUAAGGUUAGAUUCAUUCGCAUUGGCUUUCUCUGCCCUGCUUUUAGAAAUUUCGUUGGUGAAAUUGGAUAAUGCUUCUUUCAGAUAAAAGACUUGAAGAUACCCCUUAAUAAAAGGAUUUGACAAAUUCUAAAUAUAAUUAGUUGAAUCAUAUGCAGAAACUGAAUUUGAAUCUCAAAAAGAAGAUUUUCUUCUCAUGAAAGCCUCUGUCAAGAACAUAUCCAGAUGACUUACAAUUCAAGUGAAUUUGGAUAGUGCUUCUGAUGAAAGCCUUCGAACAUUAGAACUACAGAAGACAUACAAUUCAAGUGACCAGAUUCCAGAUCAAAUAUGAACAAAUCUUGUAAAUUAGCAUUUUCUCCGCUCCUUGUUAUGCAACGACCAAGAGGCUUUACAGGAUUACGCUGCUGAAGCUUGGCAAUCAAUUUCACAUCAUUUCAUAGCACAUACAAUCCUUGUCAAGAACUCCUUCAAAGCCUAUACACAGCAAUUUGUCAUCCAUCUGAUAAUGUACCUUGAAAGGUUAAAAGUAAAGAUUGCAAAAGGGUUUUCCUUGUACAUACGUCCGAAUCCACCUUAUCCAAGCUUCUUGUAUAUUGGUGACUUUAGCUAUAGAGGAUAGGUCAAACAAGUCGAACCUCUGUGUUUUCCUUAUUGCCUACAACGUUCUGCUCAGCUUCUCCCAUGGUUUCUUUCUCUGAAAUAGAGGGAAAUGUGCCUCCUUAAGUGUACAGUUUUAAUGAUUUUUUUUUUGGAAGAUAUAGUGAUUUUUCAAUGCUGUUUUUUCCUCUGUUUUUUCUCCACUGACAAAUGAUUGAUACGCAAUUUCUAGCAAACUAUACCUUUCGAAAAAUUUCAAGAAACAGAAGAGCUAAAUGUUAUGGUUGACAAGACAAAUGAGCUUUACCUUGUAGGUUUCUCCAGAGUUUGUAAAGGUAACAGUCAAUUAUCACCAUCCCAGCAACAAUGGCAAGGUCAAUUCUGCUUUGAGAUAACAGCCAUCCUCUUCUUAGGCUCAUCUUUAGCCUUUUCAGGUUCAGAUUUGACACAGGAAAGUCAGUUAAACUUAUUUUCAGAAAGUAAGACACAGAGUUAAAAAAUGCUAAUGACACAUGAAAAAGCAAAUGAAUUAAUGAGUUAAAAUUAGGUGCAAAUUUAAUUUUGAAGCAGAAAUUUGAAUAUAAUGUACUCGCCCACCAGAAGGUUUCUGUCUGAUAUCAAAUAAUCAAAUCACAUGACUGAAAAGUUAGUGGUAGGGCCAAGAACUGAAGGUCCAUGUUUUCCUUGAAGCUUUCAGCAUGCCCUGAUCAGUUUCUUCAAUGUUUUUCUCUUAUCUAAUGUUCUGCUCAACAAAAGAAUAAAAAAUAAAAAAAUUUAAGACUAAAUGUAAAUGCAUGGUAAACUUGCUGUCUAGCUGAGAUGGUUUUAGAAAUUACUGAAGGCAUAGUGAAUGCUAAAUUUUUAAUGAAAAUCUGAUAGCCCAAUAACCAUAGGCAAAAAACAACUUGUGAAAGGACCAACCUAUCAUUGCCAUCAUCAGCCUCUUACUCUUCAUCCUCUUCUGAAGAAAAUUCUAAAACAACUUGUGAAAGGACAUCCUUAGCAUCAGGAUCAUCAAAUUCCACUAAUUCCCACCAUUUUCUUGGAUGAACAUAGCCAUGCUCGAGAGGAGGAGGAGUUGGUUGCCCAGUUUCAAGCCGGGGUAUGGAGAAAGGGAUCUUCUUGAGCUUUAGACAAUUUAUUAUUGAAAGAAAUUGGAGAGAGUUUGCAGGAACCAUAACUCCACUAGUACAAAUGCUUUUCAGUUCCGGUAAUUUGAUCAGGUGCAAGGUCUGUAAUUUGGGAAAAACAUAUGUUGUUACUUUAGGACCCCUUUCUUCUUCUUUGUGAUUUUCUUCCUCUGCUUCUGAUGCGAUUAUUUUCUCCAUCUUCUCACAGCGAUUAACUUCAAUGUACUCUAAGUUUUGCAAGCCCCGCGACAGCUGAACUGAAAACAAAUUCUUUAUACUUGAACAACGAAACAAAUGAAAUUUCCUAAGAGAAGAGAAGAUGGCAGGCGGUGCUGGAGUGUGAGAUGUAGAGACAGCUGCUACUCUUCCUUUCACAAGUUCUUGCAAGUUGGACAAACAUCGAAGACGUAGAACCUCAAUGUUCUGCAAUGAAUUGCAAGAUGAUAACGACAAAUCAACCAUGCACUUUAUUCCUUUACACCAACUAAUAGUACAUGUCUUCAACUCAUUUGCUUUACGGCACAAAGAAAUAUUGCUCAAGCUUUUGAGAUCAUGACAUGCCUCAACAGUCAGAGUCCUAACGCAAUUUGGGAGCACCACAAGAUCUUCUUUCCCUAUCUCGCAAUUAAUAAAACAUACCUUUUUGUCAACUUCGACAUCCUCAAGAUGAGAACACCAAGGAUGGCUCCUGAUGUUGCCCAAAGUAGGUGAUCCAACUCCAAGCCAGUAUUUGGAGGGCCCUUGACCCAAUAAAGACUUGGCAUAUCUCUCAAAGUCUUGUAUUUCACAAAAGAAUCCUAGAAGAAUCUCCAGCUUCCUUAGUUUGGCUACUUCCUCUCCUCUUCUAUUCAUCCAAGUUUUCAAGUAUUGGAGAUUAGAAAGCCUUAAUAGAAUUUCCGUUGGUAGUUCCUUUAGAUUCCUUGAAUAUAAAUCAAGAUAUGUGAGGCUUUCUAACAUUUCUAUACCACGAGGGACCUCCUCAAUAAUUGUAUCAAAAAGAUCCAACUUUCUCAAGGCUGUAAGCUUGGCUAAUGAAGGCACGUAUCUUAAACUGCUACACCUUCGAAGGACAAGUGCAGUUAGAUUUUCCAAGUUAGAAAUGGAAUUGGGCAGAUCAUAAAUGCCAGUAUCCGAAAGAUCUAGAACUUUUAGCCCAUGCAUGUGGUCAAAGAAAGAUUCUGGAAUUCUUUUGAGACUAUGAUUUUCUUGCAAUAACAAGGUUGACAAAUUAAGGCAUUUCGGUGAUAUCUGAGGAACUUGUGAUAUGUAAUUGUGAAUCAAGGAAACCUUCUCAAGAUUCUCUUUCCAUUUAUGCUCACUUGGUAACUCCACUAAUUGCAUACCAGCUUGAACCAUAAAGUGAUGACACCCUCUUAUAAUAGACAAUGCCAUGUCUCUUAGAACAUCAUGCACCUUCACUUCUUCCUUAACAUUGUAAGUCAUCACCCUCUCUAACAAGCAAUUAUUUACAAGCUUAUUUAAAAUAGCGCGACCUCUGUCUUGCAUUGCCUGUCUAGUUUCUAAUUCAUCAAUGAGAUCCUCAUCUAUCCAUUUUUCAAUCAACUCUUCUUCCACAAUGUGAUAAUCUUCAGGAUACAAGGAACAAUAUAAGAAACAAUUUUGAAUUUUUGAAUCUUUCAAACGAUCAUAACUGAAUUUCAUACGCUCAAAUAUUUCAAUAUCUAACCCUUUCACACUUUUAACCCUUUCACGUAAUUCAUUUAGUGCAUUCCUCCACUCGCAAGUAUCGUCCACUCCUCUCAUGCUACUAGCUAUAGUCACAAUGGCAAGCGGUAAACCACCACAUUCGUCAACAAUAAGGUUUGCAAUUUCCUUUACAGUUGGAUGUUGUAGAACCCUAUCCCCCACCAGAUUCAAAAAUAAGUUCAAUGACACCUUCUGCGAAAGAGGCUGCACUUUAAACACCUUACAACCCAUAGAAUUACAAACCUCAAUUGAUCUACUAGUGAUUAUCACUUUGCUCCCAUUAUGUAAUGUUGGUUCCGGGAUUCCCACAUCCAAUAGAGAAAACCGUUCCCAAACAUCAUCUAAGAUCAACACAUAUCUCUUUCUUUCCAAGACUUCCAUUAAUACAGUUGCCCAUUGCAACUUAUUUUCUGGAAGACAGCAUUCUAAAGCACAUGCAAUAUCUCCUUGUAAUUUGACAGCAUUGAAUUCUCUAGAUACGGUGACCCAAAUCACUGCAUCAAACUGAUUUUCCUUCAACAAUUGAUUAUUGAUAUGCUUCAUGAUGGUAGUUUUUCCCAUUCCACCCAUACCACAUACUCCAAUCAUGCCAACCUCGUCACCCAUUAAAUUUUCCCAAAUUUGUUCCUUUACAUCGAUUUCACCUUCUAGUUUUGUUGUGAGAAAUGUCACCCCUGUAGCUGGAGGCCCAUCAAUUGUUACACCCUCAGGGAAAUUACCUCGUUGAUAAAUUUCCUUUGCUUCUUCAAUCUUCUGGCAAACAAAUUUCCCUAGGCGUGCACGUGAGAAGUAUGAAACAACACGCAAUUUCUCUUCAAUCAUUUGAAGUUCAAUAUUUAUCCGUUCUAAAUCUUCAAACCAUUUCUCCACUUCUUUCUUCACCACUCUUCUGCAACGAAUAUCUGCUUCCUUUCUGAAUUCAAGGUCUUGCUUUCGAAUAUUUAGAUCAUUCACUUUUCUUUUAAGAUCAUUCACAUUUUCCUUAAGUUUCCGAUGAUGACUAAUGGAUCUAUAGGCUGGACCCCCAAAGCACUUUACCACUUCGAAAAUUGGCCCUAGAAGCUCCAUAUAAGCUACUCCCUGUAGUUUAAAAACCAAUAUGUAUAUUACAUCUCCAUAUAAGAUACUGCUUGUACUACUAUGUUAUUAAAUCUCAAACUUUUAUCAAUUCUUCUAAAGAAAAAAAAAACAAAAGAAAAAAUAUUGCUUUUAAAAAACUUUAUUAAAUACAAGAAUCCAUCAUCUAUGAGAAUAGUGUUUAUAUUUCUAAGACUACUUAUACGUUAAUGGUUUUAUAUAUAGUAUAUGUAGAUGAAUGUAUACAUGUUUGUGUUUAUAUAUUUAUAUAUAGUGUUCAACUUUCUCACUUAAGAACCAUCACAAAUUCUUUAAAUAUGUCUGACCUGUGUUUUCGAGUCUUGAUCAUUAGAACAUUAAUAAAAGGAGGAAUAAAAAAAUGAGAAAACAAUUCUCAAUAAUAUUAAACAUCAAGGACCCAAGCAACUUUCUCACUUAAGUUGUAUCACUCUCUAACAGGUAAUUAUUUUCAAGCUUAUUUAAAAUGCCCUCUGUCAUGCUUUGUUUGUCUGGUUUCUAAGCUGCCAUGGAGCCUCUCAUCUAUCCAAGUUUCAAUUAAUUUCAUUUUCUCAAUUUCAAAUUCUUCAGGACAUAAGGAACAAUAAUAUAAGAAAAAAUUUUAAAUUUUGUAUUUCUCAAGCAAUCAUAACUAAACUUCAAACAACCAAAUAUGUUGACGUUCACACCUUUCACACUUGUCACCCACUCUUCGAAUUCAUUCAGUGCAUACCUGCACUCACAAUAUCAUCUACCCCUUUCAUGCUACUGGCUAUUAAUGUCGCAAAGCGGUAAAUCGCACAUUGCUCAACAAUUUUGUUGACAAUGUCUUUUAAAUUUCAAUCUCAUACAACACCACAUGAUCUAAGAAUAAGUUCAUGGACCACGUUUUUUAAAGUGAUUUCACUUUGACAACCACACUAUCCAUAAAUUUACAGACCUCAAUUGAUUUACUAGUGAGUACAACUUUCCUCCCCAUACCUAAUGUUGGUUUUGUGAUUCCUACAUCCAAUAGAGAAAAAAUUGUUUCUAAACAUCAUCUAAAAUCAACGCACAUCUCUUUUCCUCCAAAAUAUUAUUUAAUGUUGCUGCUUAUUGCAAUAUAUCUUUUGGAAGAGAUUGGUACGAAGAAUCUGCAAUAUCUUCUUGCAAUUUGAAAAUAUUCAAUUCUUUUAAUAGGUGAGCCAUUCCACUUUAUCAAGCCAGUUAUCCUUCAACACUUGAUUAUUUAUAUGCUUCAUGAUGGUGGUUUUCCCUAUGCCACUCAUUCCAUAUACUCCAAUCAUUCCAAUCUCAUCACUCAUCAAAUACUUCAUUUUUUAAUUUUUCUUCAAUUUCACCUUCUAGAUUUGGUGUUGGUAAUGUCACCCUGGUGGCUAAAGGCCCAUCAAUUGCCACACCAUCAAGGAAACCACCUUGUUGGUAAAUUUCCUCUAAUUCAUCAAUCAUUCAACAAAAUGAUUUUCCUGGACGACCGCAUAAGAAGUAUGAACCAACACAGAACUUCUUUUCAAUAUUUUCCAUUUCAGUCACCCUUUGUACGUCUUCAAAGGUUAAAUGGAGCACAGUAUGCAAGCCCAAAAGAUUUGGAGGACUGGGGAUCUCAAACCUUAAGCAUAAAAACUUAGCUCUCCUUGCAAAAUAUUGGUGGUGGCAGUAUGGCAACGAGGAAAACGCAUUAUGGAGGUGGCUGAUUGUAGAAAAAUAUGAAAGGGGGCAAAAUCAUUGGAUCCCCUCAUCAUCAAACAUGGGAAGAAUGUCACUGAUAUGGAGAUCCAUUGUAAAUUUACCUUCCAACAAGGGUGUUCAAGAACUUGUGUGAGACCAAGCAUGUCGCUGGAUUACUAUUUUCUUUUGGCUUUACAAAUUGAUUAAUGAUGUUCCUCUUUUCUCCAAAUUUUCUCCUCUUUUCUCUUUGAUUGUUUCAAAGGAAAUGAAAGUUGUUGACGUGCAGAACAAUCGCACUUGGUCCAUAACCUUUAAACACAAUCUACAUUUAUGGGAGAAAGAAUCCUAGGAUGAGAUCCUCCACAAGUUCUCCUCGAUUCCUUACUCCAAGGAAAAGGUGAUAAGCUCAUUUGGCGGCAUGACCCUAAGGGUGCUUACUCUAUUAAAACUUUCUACUUACUCCUUGAUGCUAAUCCUAGUGCUUGAAAGUUUGGUUCAACACUAUUUGGCACUUCUCCAUUCCACCGAAGGUGCAAUGUUUCCUAGGGCUCUCGCUCAUAUAUAGAUUCUUUACCUACCAAAGGCUUCCUUUCGUCCGAGGUGUUUAAUUCAAUGUUGAGCAACUUAGAUGCCCUUGGUGCAGCCUUGUAGUGGAGACAUUUGUUCUUUGUAUUAUCUUUCAGUAUGUUGCUAGUAGUUGAUGUAUAAUUCUCUUAGGCCAUGUUUCGGAUUGUUCUGCAUUUUGUAAGCCAGGCUGGUUAGGUUCUGUUAUGCACUCUUUGUGCACUCCCCUGUUUUUUUCAUUUUCUGUUCUGCAUCAACAGUUCAUUCCCAGCCUUGUACUUUAAAAAACCAACUUAUAUUACAUCUCCAUAAGAUAUAAGCUAUACCUUGUACUAAAAAGCAAAAGAAAAAUAAGUUUUGAAAACAUUAUUAGAAACAAGAAGUUUUUGUUUCGAUCAUCUAGGUGAAUAAUGUUUACAUUUCUAACACUAUAUUUAUCAAGCCGAAUGUAUAUACUAUUUAUAUAUAGCAUAUACUUCCCCCCCUAGAGAGCCAACACAAAUUCUUAAAUAUGUCUUGCCUACAUAUCUCAAAAAGAUAUUUAAGAAAUAAUUGCAUGAAUAAAUUGAGAGGGUAAAAUGACAUUAAAAAUACCAGGUUUCUUCUUCAGGAAAGAUGAAGAACAGGGCUCAAGUAGUACAAAUUAAUCCCCUUGGUUCCUUGCUAAGCACAAAUUUGUUGUGGAAAAUAGCUGACAUAAAAGAGGAACAAUCACUAGUGUUGUAAAGGUGAAAAGCUUAUUUGCUAAAGUUUUUGGAAUUAUUCUUAUUCUUGCUCACUAUAAUUAAUUUCAGCCUAAUUAAUAGAAUAGAAGCAUGACAAAGAAAGAACCAAAAUAAUUUUGUGCAACUUGACUAAAGAUGAUGAAAUUAUGUUACAAGAUUAUAAGAUUCUAAAGAACAUGAACCCAAAAGAUUAAAAAUCAUAAUAUAAAGGAAUAGGCAGUUCAAUUACCUGGUUAAAUGAGACAAUGAAUGGGUACGUCUCCUCUCCUUAGAGGGUCUUGGUUAUAUUGGUGGAAUGGAAGAUUAAUAUCUCCUUCUAGAAUUUGUCAAGAACAGAGCAAAAUCAGAUCUCUCUGCUGGCAAAAUAAUACUAAUUGACGAUGUGGAGCAACAAAACUUGUCACACGCCCUAUAUCUACUUUCUUAUAUUUAUAUUUCAAAGGAGAAUUAAUCCAAUUUAGAAAAGUCAUGAAUCAUAAUUUCUUGUUGCCGAAAUAGGAAGAUUUGGUUAUAGAAGAAACUACGCACAACAAGUUCAGCACUUUUGUUCUUUUUUAUAAUUAAGAAACAAACAUAACCCAAAAAGACAUAUGUUUAAGCAAUCAAUAUUGCAAGAAUAAAGGAGACGGUAGAAUGAUUGCAAGGGCUAAAGCCAUAUAUAGUAGGGGAAAGGAUAUGAAACCUGUUUCCUUCUUCAAAUUAUUUGGAAAGAUGGAGCUGAACAGGUUCUGAGCCACAAACCUCUUGGAAUUUUAUGUGGAAAAGUAACUGACAUGAAAGAAGGAGAAUCAAUAGUGUUAUGAUAAAGCUGAAACUCUUCACUUGUAGCCUAUGGGUCUAGUUUCUACUCAUUAAUGGAGAGAAUUAUUGAAUUAGGAAGCAAAAAAGAAUAUAAAGUCGGCAACUCAAUGCAAAGUCAUGAUAGGAGUUGCGAAGUCACUUUCCUUGAAUUCAAUAAAAAAACUGGCCACUUGUCCUCUCUAUAAUUCCAAUAUUGUCCUCACAAAUUUCUUUAUGUGUUAAGGAAAAGACCAUAAAUACGUAGAGAUGUUAAAACAGUGUAUCGGCUGAAUAACCAAGCUACUGUUUACUGCAAUAGAACCUUGACAUGACAUAAUUACACGUAUAAAAUUAUUCUUACUAAUAAUAAAGGUUUAAAUAUUGGUCAAGUAAUUUUGGUUGGACCACACUUGACUUUUUACUUAUAAAAAAUUUAGAAUUAUUUGUAAAAAUUAUUUUAUUCAUAACUUUUAAUAUUCAAAAAGCUUGUAAAAUAGUAAAAGAUAAAAUCAGAAAAGCAAAGCAGAGAAGAAACAAUACCAAGAAGAUAGCAACUAGCAAAAUCUUCUAUCCAAAGAGAAUGAAUUUUUGGAGCAAAAACAAAAUUAAAAAAUGGCCAAGUCAAUGCCACAAGUCGUUGCUGAGGUUUCCAAGUAACUUCCCUCGAAACAUGAUAUAUAUAAAUGCAUAUUUCCUAUUUUUUGUCGUUCGGAACAUAGAAUUUUCCUUUAUUUUUAAUCUAUUCUCACUUUGUAAAUUUUGUUUGACCAUUGGCUUUCUGAAUCUAAUCUAACCUCGUAUAAUUUCAUCAUGAGGUUUGUAUAUUAAUAAUGAUCAUUGAAGAAUCUAAAAUUAACAAUUAUCAAGUGGCCACUAAAGAAAAACUAAAAUGAAGUAUACUUUGUGUGAAAAUUUUUACUUUAUUGUUCAGAGUCUAGUCUUCUAGAGAUCAUAUUCUAUCUUGUGUGUGACAGACACCAAUUCUUAAUGCUCUGCACUGAAAACGCAAUAUACAUUUGCUGAAUCGAAAUUUAUAUUCAAAAGGAGAAAUAAUCCAAUUUAAUAAAUUACUAAAAAUGUCAUGAAUUAUAAUUCCUUGUUGCUGAUAUAGAAAGAUUUGUUUAUAGAACAAACUAUGCCCAACAAGUUUAUCCCUUGAUAUAAGUAAUGAGAAAGGAAAGAGGCUUGUGCAUGAUGGGGAUUCAGCUUCUUGCUUAUCAGCCAUUUCAGAUUACUUCAAAAAAUGAAGGGGAACAGAUCAAUUCAUUCUCUUCCAGAAUAUCCUGUUUAUUAUUUCCAUGGUUAUCGGUAUCAUAUCUGUUUAUCAAACCGAUAUAUUAUCCUUCAACAAUUGAUUAUUUAUGUCCUUCAUGAUGGCAGUUUUCCUAUGCCACCUAUUCUGCGUACUGUAAUCAUUCAAACCUCAUCACUCAUCAAAUACUCCCAAAUUCGUUCUUUAAUUUUACAUCGAUUUUAACUUUUAGAUUUGGUGUUGGUAAUGUCACCCAGGUAGCUAGAGGCCGCAUACUGUCAAGGAAACUACCUUGUUACAUUUCCUUCUUCAAUCCUUCAGCAAACAAAUAAAUUUGCUAGCAUAAAUCAAACAAAAAUCAAACUUUAUUAGAUUUAGCAAUACAUCCAAUUUCCAAAUAAAAUAAAACGGAUACAAGAUACCAUCCACUAACAGUGACACAACUCCUGCAAACAAUUCAAAAUAUAUUACAGCAUAACAAUAUUCCUCCCCUUCCCACCCCAUUUAUUUACAAUGUAUCCCAACCGGCCAAUCGGCAGGCAAAGUUGGGUAAGGGGAGUGUUGCUUCCUCGAUUACUUGCAAGUGACGUAUACUUCCACUACACCACAAUCACCAUCUAUUCUCUUGGAUUGGGUUCCGACCAGUGCAUCAAAGUGUAAACUGACAAUGUUGUGAGGCGGAAGCGUAUCUUUUUCUGCCAUCGAAUAAACUUUCCUCCUUUAAAGUGAUCUAACUUGAUAAUGUUGGUAGCUAUCUCUUUAAGUGAAGCCAUUUUGAAUGCUAAGAAAAUAAGUCUUAAAAUUGUUGGUACAAAUGGGGUUUAAAUGGAAUUCAAAAACUAGCAUAAUUGACUUCAAGACAAGCCUUUCAAUAGAAGUUAUAUUUAAAUUUAUUUUGCCCCCACCACUCAGUAUGCAAAAGAGGAAUAAUGCGAAUAGCCUUAGGGAUACAAUGAAAUCAACAUCUAACUUCAUCUUACACUUUAUGAGAGUAGACCGCUAGAUACACCUGAGGAUUUACAAAAUUAUUUGGCUUUAGAGCUUACUUUUUGCAACAAGUAGAUUAUAAGGAAUUUGGACGCUUUUGUAGUUGAUGGGAACUUAAGUGUUUACGUUAAUAGAACAAAAUAUUUUUCUUACUCUUUGAUAUUUCUGCUCUUGUUUUGUUUUUGAUUUGAUGUCUCAAAAUGGUUGGCAACAAGCCCUUCCUAUAGGCUUCCUAUAGGCUUGCAAGUGUCUCUUCUUCAAUGACCCAACCCUUUCAUUAAGGCACCAUUUUGUCUAAAAGACAUCUUUACAUUUUGUUAGACAUAACUUUUGGAUAAAUGUAUUAUUUCAAUAGUCAUCUUAUGAAAAGAUAACUAUUCAUUCUAUAAAAUAUAAUCUUUGAGUUAUAAUUUGUAAUAAUAACAUUCCGUAUUUAACUUUUGAGCUAUGGUGUCUUUUUAAUUUAUCUCAUAACUUUUGAAUGUCAUUUUACUAAGAGACAUAACCAUUCAUAUGAAAACUUGCCUACAAUCCAAUAGACACACUAUGUCACUUUAUGUGACAUAACCUUUGAGCUAAGAUAGCUUUUCAUUAUAUGAUACAAUCUUUGAUUUUGAAAAUGCACCAACAACUUUGACCUUAUAAACAACUCUAAAACCACCUUCCCCUAGCUUGAUGUCCAUAGAAAAGCUAUCAGUAGCACGAGCUACGGUAGCAAGCUCCAAUAUUGGAAGCUCCAUGUCUUCAUCCUGGCCUUGAUUUUCUUGAUCAUUUUCCUUAUUGUCUUUAGUUUCUUUAAAACAGUAGCCAAAAUAGGCUUGGCAUUCACCAUAAAAUAUGAUAGAUUCUUAUGCAUUUUGAUUGAGCUAGAUAAUUGGACAAAAAGCUGAUGUGGUUUUUGAGAUCACACAAAACCAUGUAUCUCCAGUUAUUUGCUUCAUUAACAACUCUAUUUUGACACCGAUAAGCAUUGAAGAAACUGCGUGUUGAUUUGCUAGCAUCAUUACUAACAAAGGAACAAAAUGAGCAUUAUUUGUGAAGGAUAUUUCAAAGUUACGUCUGAACUUUCUGGGGCUUCUAUAAAUGUAAUAACUGACAAUAAACAGCCCCAAAACCACAGCACAGUAGUGUUCCAAUCACUGCAGCAAGCUCCAUCCUGAGCUUAUCUUUCAAUUCUGUAUGACAGAAUUUGAUAAAGAAAAGCAUAUAUGAACAAAAAAAAGUAGUGAAAACAAGAGAAAAUGUAAACUCAUACCUGAUUUUGGAGCAGACACUCUAACAUAUAGGUCCUGCCCUACUGAUUGAAAUUUUCUGUAAUCAAUCAAAUUACCAAACCAAAAGGCGCAUCCCCAAACUCUUCCUCCAUUAUCUGAACUAGUGUAUGCUUGGCUUUCUACAUUCCAUGUGAAGUCCUGUAUCAUCAGUUUGGUUCAGAACAAGUCCUGUGAUCAAUGAUUUCUAUUUGAGACAUUUUGUAUGGUUGAAAUAUAAAAUAGAAAUACCCGGACAUUGAAGAGAUAUUGAAGAGAAUUUGCAGGAAUCAUAACUCCAAAACCACAAAUGCUUUUCAGCUCUGGUAAUUUCAAUAAGGAAAGUUUCCUUAAUUUGGGAAGAAUGAAUGUUAUGCUAACAGCCCUUCCUUCUCCUCUGUUAUUUUCUCCCUCCUCUUCUGAUUCUAUUAUUUGCUCCAUUUUUUCACAAAGCCUGACAUCAAUUUCCUCCAAAUUUUGAAAACACUGCAACAGCUUAAUUGAACACAACUUCUUCAUCCUCGAACAGUUUCUCAAGUAAAAACUUUUGAGAGAAGAGAAAAUGGCAGGUGGUGUUGGGAUCUGAGAUGGAGAUACACAUAGAUUCAUGGUUUUCAUGAAUAAGAUAAAAAUGUUAUGAUCACCAUUUAAACAUAAUAUAUAUAUAUAUUUAGAGUAAUCACACUAAUCAUAUCAAAUUAAACUCAUACUCAUAAUUUGCACGCAACAUCAAAUCACCAAAUCUUAUAUAGAUAAUUUAAACUAUUAAUCUUGUUUAAUUAUAUUUGUAUUCAUCAUUUGAAGGGCUUUGUAAAUUUGUAAAGUAAACAACAAUAAGCAAUAAUUAUGUUUAUUUUCAAUAUCUUGGUACUGAUACAUCACUUCCCAAAUAUGCUUUCCUUUUCUUUUUCAUAUAUAGACAUUGUUUUAUUUGGAGAUUGUAGCUAGCUAGACACCAUUAUUGCCAGUCCAAGAGGUGACACUUUGGAGAUUGAAUAGCAUUUAAUUUUCAGGUGUUUUGGUCUUGAGAUGAGUGGCAACAUUAAUUCUUUUGGAUCUGUUGAAUUAGCUUUUGUAUAUAAAAGAAGGUAUACCUCCUCAAACAUGGAAAAUCCCCUUUCAAACCCAUAAUUUUAAAGAAAGAAAAUCCUAAUUUAAUAGAUUAGUUGCCAACUAAGGACAAGCAUUGUUGAUGUGACAUUUAUUUUGGUAUAUUCUAACACUCGUUGACUAGAUUCAAUUGGAUAGGAUUCUUAAUUUUGAUGAGAUUUAUGGGUAGUGAUUAAACAAUGGAAGUGUUGACAAUGGAGGUUCUAAGUCCCUUGCAUCUAAGAAAGAAAUGAAUUUGUUCAAUUGACACUGCUUUGGUACAUAUAGAAAGUAAGCUAAUACCAUAGCCAUAUUUCUUACGUGACUUCCAACAAAUUUGAGACUUCAGUAUGGCAAAAUAUUGGGUAUUUGAAUAAAUUACAAUACAAAUAGAGAAAGAAAAAAGAAAGAGACUAAAUAGAAAGGGGAAGUGGAAAGAUCCCCAAAAUCAAUUAAUUGUAAGUGGAAGGAGCAAAGCCCAACUUUGUUGGCAACAAAGUCAUGUUCCCACAGAUGAUUUUGUUCUUGUUGCAGAGCGUUGUCAAUAAUAUUUACUUCCAGGCUGUCUUUUGGUAAAUAGAAGCCGAUAAUGGUUCUCUGGAUCAAGCUCAAAUAUAGCUCCAUCUUCAAAAAUGAAUUGCAAAUCCUGACACUGAAGACAAAAUCAAGCCUUGUUAUUGCUUUUAAUAAAAGCAAAUAAAAUUUGAAGGGUGUUCAGCUGGGCAAUUACUAGUUCCCAAGUAACAGUUUUAACUGCUACUUUCCUGUACCAAAUUCCCAAGCAACGAUUCUUAGAGCUUCCAGGACUAAAGAAACCAAGCUCAAGGAUUCCGUCCAUCACUAACAGACUGGGAGGAGGCGGAGAUAUCGAUUCCAUCAGCAAUACUUGAAAACAAUAUUAGUAAAACAGUGUUGGUGAACAUGGAAGACAGAAUGUCCUUUUAAACUUUCAGAGCUUGUAAAACUCAUAGAAAAACUUUUCAGUUUGGCAGAUUUUAGAGAGCAAACAUAUUUAAACUGAUGAUCGUUGACUAGUAUGCAAAUCUUCCUUGAAAAGACCAAACUUUUCAGGUUGCAUAGAAUUCUUAUUUCUAAUUUUUAUGAAGCUUCAGUGCAGUCAUCUUGUAUUGUCUCUGUGAAUCAAAUAUAUAAAUAAAUAUAUAUAUAUAUAUAUAUAUAUAUUACCCACAAAUAGACACUUGCAGGGCGCUAAGCUCAAACUGGGACUAAACCACUGGUAUCAAAGCAUAAGGUACAUGACAUACUGACUGAUAGCCUAUAAUAAUGGCUUGGAGAUAAAAGAGCUAAGUAUACAGUUUAUCAAUUAUCAAGCAUCUAGUACUGACAGAGUUAUUUCAUUUGUGGGAGACGAUACAUUCUUGUCUGAUGAAGAAUCUUAUUCAAGUGGACUUUUCUUAAACAAAACACCAGGUUGUUUGGGGUGUGGCAAUUCAUUUUCGCUUCCCAAUGUCAGAAUCACAAAUGACAUACUUGGCCUAUCCUCUGGAUAUGCUGUUGUAAACUUAAACGACUGAUAAUGGAUGAAUUGUAUCACUUCUGAUAGAUUGCAAAGACUCUCCUAAGCAUUCGUCAACAAGUUUUAAAGGACUGCCUUAUUUACAUAAUCUUCAUGCCUGCAGCAAAUUGAAACCCUUUUAGGUUUUAUCAAUCCAAGAUAGGCAACAAAAAAUUGAUUAUAAAAAUAUCUGCUGAAACUGACAUGUUCAACAAGGUUGCCGCUUUGUGUUGGAUGGUAAAGCCCUCUAUUUUUUCUUCCCACUUAUUAUCUCCAUCAAUAAUAUACCAAAGCUAAAGAGAUCUGAUUUUACUGGAAGCAGUCCAUCAAUAGCAUAUUCCGUGCCAUAUAACCACUGCAGAACAUUAUCAAAAGCAAUAAAUAUAUGAGGGUAUGUAGACAUUAUGAAAAUAAAGUGAAAGUUAGUAAGUUCCAACCACUCUUUUAGCGUUCCCUUCAGUUUGGUCUCCUCCAAAAGUUCUAGCCAGUCCAAAAUCUGAAACUUUUGGAUUCAUCUCACUAUCAAGCAGAACGUUAUUAGUUUUGAGAUCUCUGUGAAUAAAAAAAAAUUAUUCAAAUGAAAUGGCAAAGAAUCUAAUUAACUCGUUUGAAGAAACUUUGGAUUUGCUAGCAUCACCAUUAACAAAGUGUUUUUUUUUUUUUUGUUUAUUUUGCAAAGGACAACUUGGCACGAUCUCUGUAAAGGAAAUGACUGACAGUGAACAACCCCAAAAGCACAACACAGUGUUAAUGCAGGAAGUUUUAUCCUAAGCUUAUCUUUCAAUUCUGUAUGAUGAAAUUUGAUAAAGAAAAGCAUACAUGAACAAAAACAAAAAAAGCAUUGAAAACAAGAGAAAAUGUAGACUCCUACCUGAUUCUGAAGCAGACAUUUUAACAUAUAGAUCCUGCCCUUUUGAUUGAAAUUGUCUGUAAUCAAUCAGAUGAUGAAACCGAAGGGCUCAACCACUACCUAUUCCUCUGUUAUCUGAACUAGUGUAUGCCAUAUAGGAAUAGUUCUACAGAUACUUAGCCCUGCGUCCCUUAAAAUUCAUACUUUUAGUUACCCAAGAAUGUGUAGCAUCUUGCAUUUUCAAAUCUUUUAAAUCUGACAAAUCCAUCUCUACUUUGGCAGUUGAAUGGCUUAUUGUGCUUACACCUUUGGGACCAGUCUGAUGAGUUCUAUCUUUCGGGAAAUUCAGGCUUAAACAUCAGCUUUCAGGGAAUUAAGGCUUGAAUCCUUUAAAAAGUGCAAGCUGAGCACCAUCACGAUUCCUUUUUGAACCACAAAGUCCAUAUCUGUCACAGUAGUCUCUUGGAGCAAAUGAGAAAAGCAUCCAAGCUUGCUUUCUGCAUUUCAUGUGUAGUCCUGUGAUCAAUGAUUUCUAUUUGAGACGCUUUGGAUGGUUGACAUAUAUAAUAGAAAUACCAGGUGGGUAGAUCAUGCAUUGUUUUCAUAAGAUGAUGUGAUUGAGUGACUUUUGAUGAAUGCAGAAUACACAAAGUGCAGCAGAAAACAAAUUAUAAACAUUGAGGUCCCAGAUAAUUUGUAUUUUUCAAUAAUAUGCAGCUUGUUCCUCUAAUCAUUCUCUUGAGUGGACAAACAUAACUUCAAUGACUUACUUGUAUUAAAUGAUUUCCAAUUCAUGAACCAGUUGAGACCAGUGUGGAUGCGUUUUCUCACAUCUGAUAGGUUGCAGGACAGUCCUAAGAAUUCACCACCGAGUUCAACAGGGGUGCCUUCCUCUCAUAAUCUCCAUGCCUGCAGCAAAUUGAAAACCUUUUAGUCAUUUUAUUAAAGUAUUUUAAUUCAUAAUAAUUAAAGUAUUUUAUUUAAGUGUUAAAGUUCUAUUUAUAGUAGUAGUAAUUAUUAUUAUUAUUAUUAUUAUUAUUAUGAGUGUGUGUGUGUGUCUUUUUUUGUUUUAAAAUUUGAAAAAAAAAAUUAAAACCAAAUUUGAAAAAUGUGAGUGAAAAUGAAAAUAAAGGAAAGGGGUAGGACGUGUCAGAUAGCAAUUGGCUGAGAUAUGCAGAUUGAAGGGUGUUUAGUUGGAGAUUUUUCUAUCAUUCAUAAAAUUAAAGACUUGGUUUUAUGUUUAUAUUAAAAAAGAGAAAUUAUUUAGCAAAUGAGAAAUUAAGAGAUAAAAAUAUUUAGCAAAUGAGAAAGAGAUGAAAAUAAACUCACAAUUAAUGUUUGCUGUUUUUAAUAAGAAGCAAGAGCCUUGCACCCUCAUUUAAUCAAACACCUCUUCUCCAUCUCAUUCUACCAAUACUGAACAAAGGGAGAAAGGACAUCCUUAGCAUCAGGCUGAUCCCAUUCCACUGAUUCCCACCAUUCUCUCGGGCUUACUAUGAUUCGUUUUAGAAAAGGAGGAGGCAAUGGUUUCCCAUUUUCAACAAGGGGAAGAGACAAUGGGAUCCUCUUUACUUCUGGACAAUCGAAUAAUGUGACAUGUUGGAGAGAAUCUACAGGAAUCACAAGUCCACCACGGCAUAUGCUUUUCAAUUUUGGUAAUUCUUCCAAGACUAAUGAUUUUAAUUUGGGAAGAAUAAAUGUUGUUCCUUCUCGUUCCUGAUUUUCUUCUGAUGCUAUUAUUUCCUCCAUUUCAUAACAAUUUCCAACUAUAAUUUCCUCUAAGUUUUGGAGGCUUUGCAACAGCUCAACUGGAUACAACUUCUUAAUCUCGUAACAAGAAUACAGUUUCAGUGUUUUAAGAGAAGAGAAGAAGGCAGGUGGUGUUGGAGCAUGAGAGGUAGAUUCAAUUUCUGCUGCUACUCCUACUCUCACAACUUCACGCAAGUUCCACAAUGACUCAAGCCAUAGCUCCUCAACGUUGUGAAGUGCGUUGCAAGACCAUGAUGACAAGUCAACCACACACUCUAUCCCUUCACACCUCCGAAUUCUACAUUUCUUCAAGUCAGUUGCCUUACGAAACAAAGGAAUAUGGCUUAAACAUUUGAAAUCAUUACACCCCUCAAUACGUAAAGUAUGAAGGUCAUUUGGGAGCACUACAUCGUCACACCUUUCUAUCUCCAAAUUUGUGAAUUCAACAUUUUUCUCAAUUUCGUUGAAAUCUGGGGAAUACCCAAUAUAAAUAUUCACAUCUGGUCCCACUUGAAAAUCGAAAGAUGUAGGCCAUUUACCUUGUGUAGACUCUGCAUAUUUCUUAAACUCUUGCAUGUCGCAAAAUGAACAUGAAACACACUCAAGCUUCCUCAAUUUGCCUACUUCUUCCCCCCUUAAAUGUAACUCCACCAGUAAGCAUUGCAGAUGAGAAAUCUUCACUAAUAUUCCCAUUGGUAGCUCCUUUAGAUGCGUUGACCCUAGACGAAAAUAUCUAAGGUUUUGUAACAUUUCUAUACCAUGAGGAAACUCCUCAAUGCUUGUACUAAAAAGGUCCAACUUUCUCAGUGCUCUGAGCUCUGCUAAUGAAGGCACAUAUUUUAACAUGUGACAAUUAGCAAGUAUCAAUGCAUUGAGAUUUUUCAACUUAGAGAUGGAAUUGGGUAGAUUCUCAAUCUCAUAAUUACCAGAAAGAUUUAGAACUUUUAGCCCAAGCAUGUGCUCAAAGAAAGAUUCUGAAAUCCUUUUUAAGUCACAAUAUUGCAAUAUCAAAGUUGACAAAUGAGGACAUUCAGGUGAUAUGUGAGCAGGGAUUUCUAUUAAUUUUGAAUUUCGCAUCAAAGAAACCUUCUCAACACUCGUUGUCCAUUCUUGCUCACUUGGUAGUUCCUCCAACUGCACAUUGGCUUUUACCAUGAACUGAUGACCUUUAAUAUACAAUGCCAGGUCUCUCAAAACAUCAUGCAUCUUAACUCCUCUUUCAUCCAAAUAAGUUUCAUCCCUCUCUAACAAGCAAUUAUUUUCAAGCUUAUUUAAAAUGCUAUGGCCUCUGUCAUGCAUUUCUUUUCUAGUCCUCAAGCCAUCAAGGAGUCCUUCAUCUAUCCAGUUUUCAAUUAAUUCAACUUUUUCAAUCACAAAAUCUUCAGGAUACAAGGAGCAAUAUAAGAAACAAUUUUGAAUUUUUGGAUCUUUCAAAUGGUCAUAACUGAACCUCAAACGCUCAAAUAUUUCAACAUCUGAUCCUUUCACACUUUUCACAUGCUCUUCUAAUUCAGUUAAUGCAUUUCUCCACUCACAAAUAUCAUUUACCCCCUUCAUGCUUUCAGCUAUUGUGACAAUGCUAAGUGGUAAACCGCCACAGUGCUCAACAAUUUUGUUGACAAUGUCUUUUAAAUUUUGAUCUUGUACAACACUAUGCCCCACAUGAUCUAAGAAUAAGUUCAUGGACUCUGUCUUUGAAAGUGGUUGCACUUUGACCACCUUACAAUCCAUAGAUUGACAAACCUCAAUCGAUCUACUAGUGAGUACAACUUUCCUCUCCAUGCCUAGUAUUGGUUCAGGGAUUCCCACAUCCAAUAAAGAAAAUCGUUUCCAAACAUCAUCUAAAAUUAACACAUAUCUUUUUCUCUCCAAAACAUCCUUUAUUGUUGUUGCUUGUUGCAAUUUAUUUUUAGGAAGAGAUUGUUUAAGAGAAUCUGCGAUAUCUUCUUGCAAUUUGAAAAUAUUCAAAUUUUUUGAUACAGUGACCCAUAUCACUUUAUCAAACUUCUCACUUUCCUUUAACAAUUGAUUAUUGAUAUGCUUCAUGAUGGUAGUUUUCCCUAUACCACCCAUUCCACAUAUUCCAAUCAUUCCAACCUUAUCACCCAUCAAAUACUUCCAAAUUUGCUCUAUUACAUCAAUUUCACCUUUUAUAUUUGGUGUUGGUAAUGUCACCCCAGCGGUUGGAGGCCCAUCAACUGCCACACCGUUAGGGAAACUACCUUGUUGGUGAAUUUCCUUUACCUCUUCAAUCUUUCGACAAACAAAUUUUCCAAAAUGACCACGUAAGAAGUAUGAAACAACACGGAACUUGGUUUCAAUCUUUUCCAUUUCAGUGUUUACCUUUUCUACAUCUUUAAACCAAUUCUCCACUUCUUUCUUCACCACUUUUCCAUGACGAAGCUCCGCUUCCUUUUUUAAUACGAGGUCUUCCUUUUGAUCAUUUAGAUCAUUCACUUUUCUUCGAAGAUCAUUCAUAUGUUCUUCAAGUUUCGGGUGAUGAUCUAUGUAUGUACAGAUUGGACCACCAAAGCACUUUAUUGCUUCAAAAAUUGGCCCUAUAAGCUCCAUAUAAGCUAUUCCCUGUAGUUUAAUAAACCAAGAUAUAUUAUAUCUCCAUAUGACAUAAGCUACUCCCUCUUUAUACUAAAAUUCUAUAUUUUCCAUAUAAUAUAGAAUAUGUUAGAAAAAAAUGUUACUAAAUAAAAGAUUUUUACCAAUUCUUCUUAAGAAAAAACAUAAUAUUUUUGAAAACAAUAUAAGAAAAAAGAUGUUUUUGUUUCCAUCAUGUUUGAGUAUAAUAUUUACAUUUCCAACACUGUUUAUAUCUAAAUGAAUGUAUUCAUUUUGCCCCUUAAAGAACCAUCGCAAAUUCUUGAAUAUAUCAUAUCUAUAUGGUUCCUAGUUUUGAUCAUUACAACAAUAAUAAAAGGAUGGUGAGAAUGGAGAAGUCAAUCUACUAUAAAUAUAUAAAUAACAAAAUUUUGAUAAAAGAAGGAAACGAUUUAAAAUUGAUAACUUCCUCUUCUAACACAUACACAUAUUAAAUAAAUGUUAUAUAUUUAUUAAUCAAUGCAAAAUUUUAAUUUUCAUAUUGAAAGACUAAAUUUACUAAAUUUGAUUAUCCAUUUUACACAUUUAAUAAAAAUUUAAGUUAGAAUAUGUAAGAAUAUCUAAUUGUUAGCGUUAAUAACUGUAGAAAUUACCAUUUAAUGUUGAAAAUGGAUAUUUUGACAAAAAAAAAUACAGGUAUAAUGCUAAAAAAACCCUUGAAUUAUUUACGAAAAUUUAAAAAAAAUUAUUCUUUUAUUAUGUUCAACCAUGCCCUUAUGCUUUUAUUUAAUUUAUAUUAAAUAAGCCUUUAUAACUAAUAGUUGAUUAAUUGUUAUUAAUCAAAAUAUCUCUCGUCAUUUUAUACUCACGUGGUGUUGAUGUGGCGUUGAUGUGUGGAGUAAAGAAUGAGAUAUGAUUAUGUCAUCAUACCACAUCAACAAGCUUUAAAAUAUCUUAAACAAUAAUUACAAGAAUAAACUGAGAAUGCAGAAUGACAUUAAAAAUACAUAAUUUCUUCUACAAAUUAUUUGGAAAGACGAAGAGCAGAGGUUAAGUUGACCAGUCAAUAAUUAAUUCCUUGGCUCCUUGUUAGGUACUACUCCUAUCUUGAGAGGACGUUGGUUAAAUAUGGGGAGAAAGGGACUGUCAAAAAAAAAUUAUCGGGAGAAAGGGAAGAUUAAUAUAUAAUUAUUCAUAAACAGUUGUUUUUAUACUAGAGCUAGAAUAUUUCCUUAUAUUGGAGGUUUAUUAUAAAAUAAAUCAGGGCUAGUACAACUAAUCUAUUUAAACUUAACGGCCAUUUUUUCUUUUGAUGGGAAAAAUAAAAACAAAGAGAAUUUCACAAACAUCUCAUAUAAGAUUAAUAAAUGUCAUAUAUUUGUAUUAAAUAAAUGUCAGGUAUCAAUGUAAAGUUUUAAUUUUGAUAUUCAAAGACUAAAUUUAGUACAUUUGAUUAUUUUCAUAUAUUCAGUUUACACAUUUAAUACAAAUUUAAAUUAGAUAAUUAGGUAAGAAUUUCUAAUUGUUAGCCUAAAUGAAUAUUGAAAUGACCACUUAAUGUUAAAAAUGGAUAUUUUCAUGCAAAAGCAUAUAUUUGAUAGCAUAACUCAAACAAAAGAAAAACUUUAUACUAUUAAAAUUUGCACUGAUUCCAUUUCGUUCUUUUCUAAUUGUUUCAUAAUGCUUGUAUUGUCUAUUAUUUCUAUUAAUUUUUUUUAACAAUUACUCCUAAUUUGAAUUUUCAGUACUUAUUACUAAUAUAAUAGUUAGUCAACAAUUUACAGUCAAAAUUUACCUUAUAUAAUUACUUAUUGCUUUACCUUACAAAUAUGAGAUGUUGGUACAUUUUUGUUAGAGACUAUAGUUGCUUAGGUUAUUUUAAUCCUUUUUUUCCCAUAUAUUUUGUCUACUAAUAUUUAGUUUUAUGGUUCCCUAGUCUCAAUUCCAUCAUCAAAAGUUUGAUUUCUUCUUUUUGUAUGCCUCUUUGAAUUAUUCAAUUCGAUCUUUAUAUAUAUUUUGACCUCUUUGAUUUAUUAUUAUUUGGUAAUUAUGUAUUUCGAAGUCCUUGCUGAAUUAUUCAAUUUCUUUAUUUUUUUAGUAAAUUGUUUUACUAUGCUCAUAUUUGUAAAUUUUCAUCAAAAUCAAUUACUCUUCCAACUAUCAAGAUCUUUAAGACAUUAUUGAUCAACAUGCAUAAUUCCAAUUUUUUUUUUUGGCAAUUUUUUAAUGUUCUUAUUUAGAUUCUAAAUUAAAAGAAUUAUUGUAAAUAACAUCAUCACCCUUGUACUGAACUGACUAAAUAUAGUUUUGAAUAAUAAUAAACAUCAUCUAGGCCAAAAAUAAUAAUAAAAUAUUAAACAUCAAUGACCAAAGAAAUAUUAAGCAUUUUGAAUAUUCGUAAAGAUUUUCAAUUGAGUCUCCUUGAUGAAUUAUUCAAUUUCUUUAUUUUUUAAGUAAAUUGUUUUACUUUAUUCGUAUUUGUAAAUUUUCAUUAAAAUCAUUUAUUCUUCUAAUUAUCAAGAUCUUUACGACGUUGUUCAUUGCAUGGGAAAAUUUUCAUUAAAAUCAUAUAUUUUAUGUUGUUAUCAAUAUUCCUAACUAAAAAGUAUAUAUUGUAAAUAAAAUCCUCAACCUCGCAUUGCACGGGCUAAAUCUAGUUUUCAAUAACAUCACCUAAAAUAAUAAUAAUAAUAAUAAACAUCAAACAACCAAGCAAAUAUUAAUCAUUUUGAAUAGUGUAAUCUAUCCAUACGUAAGGAAUAGUAUAUCUUUUCGAUAAUUAGAACAAGAAAGCUUGUGAAAACAACAAUAUAUCUCAAAAAAGACAUUUGAAAAAUACUUGCCAGAAUAAACAGAGAAUGACAUACAAAACACCUGGUUUCUUCUUCAAAUUAUUUGGAAAGAUGAAGCCCAAAGGUCAAUUAAAAUGAUCCACAAACCUCCCUGACUCUUUGUUCAGCACAAACUUCUUAGGCAGAAGAAACAAAUUGACAUAAAAUUAACAAGGAAAAUUAUUUUAAUAAAAAUGAAAAUUUUAUGUGCUAAAAUUUUCAGAAUCAUUCAUUUUCAGUUUUCACUAACUAUAAUUAAUUUUCACCUAAUUAAGUGAAAAAAAGCAUGACACAGACCAAUAAACAAAAUAAUUAUGUGGAAGGAAAGAUGAUGAAUCUGUGUUAUAAAUCUAAAAUAUGAACCCAUAUCUAUACUAAACAGUUUAAUUUACCUAGUCAAAUGAGGCAGAUGAGCUGAUACUUCUAUCCUCAAGGAUUCUUGCUUAAGUUUGCAAAAGUAGAUCUCCUUGCAAAAAAUUGUCAAGAAAAUAGCAACAAGCAGAUCUCCUUCCGAAAAUAUCCUCUAUGAAGGAAAAUGAAUAAUGAAGCACAUGAGUUAUUGAAAAGUGGGAAAGAUUAAUAUUUAUGUAAGAAACUGAAAUAAAUGCCCAACUUGUGUCUUAAUAUUGACAUGGAACUUAUAAUAAGAUGAAUUUAUGUUAUAAUUUAAGAUUCUGAUUAAUUAAUGUUAUCAAAGAUAAAACUAAAUCAUAAGUACACACAACUUAAUUCAGUAAGGCAGUGAAGUGAUAUUUCUAUCCUGAAAAGACCCUCAAUUAAUUGGAGAAACAAGUGCAGUCAAGAAAAAUAGCAGCAACAAAUAGAUUAUCUCCUUGCAAAAAAGAAAUCCCCAAUCCUAUGAGAGAAGAGAAUCAAUGGAUUAUGAAGAAAAAAAAUUAAAGUCGGCAGCACCCAAUCAAUUGACUCUUUGGUUGAUGCAUGAUUCUUUUUUAUCUAAAGAGUAGGCUUUAAAUCCCUCUUUCCCCAAUUAAAAAGAAAGAAUAAAAAUCAGAAAAUAUAAAGAAAAUGAAUUAUGAAAAACAUGAACUAUUGAAAAGUGGGCAAGAUGAAUAUUUGUACGGAUCUUAUGUUAAGAUGGGUUUGUGUUAUAAGGUAAGUUUCUGAUUAAUUAAUGUUACCAAAGAUGAAAGCAAAUAAUAAGCAUAGACAGUUUACCUGGGUCAGUGAGGCAGUGAAUUAAUUGAUACUUCUAUCCUCAAAAGGUCUUUAUUAAUUUUCGGAAACAAGCAUGUGGAAGAAAAAUAAACAGCAACAAGCAGAUGAUCUCCUUGCCAAAUUAAAAGAAAAUCCUAAACUUAAUCUUCCGUGAGAGGAAAAUUAAUGAAUUAUGAAGCAAAUAAGAGUUAAAAGUCAAUCCAAAGUCGUCGCACUAGUUGUGAAGUCACUUUCCUCGGAGCUGUUUCACAAUAAUGCAAAUGUGAAUAGAAGAAAAACUGGCAAAGUAGGACAGAAUUAUGGGGCCACUUAUCCUACUCUCCUUCAUUAUUUGAAAAGAUAAAUUGUUGAAGAAUAGCCCUCAAUUGGGGUAUUUCCAUUCCAUCAUCCGCUGUUUAAAUCAGAAAAAAAGAAGCAGCAAAGCAAAGCCAAGGUAAGAUGAUAGCAGCUAGGAAAAUCUCUUGUCCAAAUAUUAAUAUAUAUCUUUCGUGCCAAGAGAUAAUAAAUUAUGAGAAAAAAUAAUUAAUAGUCGUUGGGAAAGGUGAGUCAAUGCAGCAAGUCAUCGUUAAAAUUAAAUUAUGGGAAAAAAAAUAAUAGUAGGUGAGACAAUGCUGUAAGUCAUUGCUAACAUUGCUAACGUUUGCACCAAACUUUAAAUUAUGGGGAAAAAAUUAAUUAAUAGUCAAUGAGUCAAUGCUGCAAGUCGUUGCUAACAUUCCGAACGUUUGAACCAAACUUUAAAUUAUGGGGAAAAAAAUAAUUAAUAGUCAAUGAGUCAAUGCUAAAAUAUUGCUAACAUUUGUACAAAACUUUAAAUUAUGAGAAAAAAAUAAUUAAUAGAUAGUGAGUCAAUGCUAACAAUAUUGCUAACAUAUGUACAAAUCUUAUAUAAAUCUUAAUAAUUAUUAUAUGAAUCUUCUAUAAAGCCGAUUGACUUGAGAAAAGAUAAACAGGGAAAGUAAGGUUAUCCUCGAAUUUUUUCUUUUUAUUAACAUAUGACAAGUUCCCAGGCAAAAGCGAAAAUUCAAAUUAUUUCUAUAAUGAAGGGCUAAUUAACACCUUAUUAAUUGUUAAUUAAGUCUCCUUAAAACUACUCAUUCAGAUAAAUCAUAAUGUUUUUCCUUUUGAUAUAUAUAAAAAAGCUGUUCUAACUAUAUGAAUUUGUUCGAUCAUUGAUUUUCUCAAUCAAUCAGUUAGAGUUGAGCAGCAGAUAAUGUUUUAAGAAGUUGACGUGAAUAAAAUAUUGUGAGACAAUGAGCAGAGGGAAUGAGUAAACAAAUAUAUUACUCGACUCUAUAACAAAGAGUAGGAACUUCAAAUGUCAAUCUAUGAUUUAAUUAUCGGAUUAAUAUGUGCUACUAACACAAUCAAUGGUCCUGAAUAUCAAGAGUUGUUUGUUAUUAACACUACUCUGAAUUAGUAUUUGUAAUGUUUUUCCUUUAUUCUUAAUCAAUUCUAGAUAUGGAAAUUUGUUUGACCGUUGGCUUUCUGAAUCUAUCAGGAAUUGAAUAGACAAGGUGUUGUUAUAGGAAAGUUCAUGCAAUUGAAUACAUAAAGUGUGAAGUAAUGAGCAGCCAUUUUUAAUUAUUGAUUAAGUUGCUGCAGUUCUGAAACUCGUGAUUAUGAUGAGAUGUAAAUUUGAUGAAGUUAUUAUAACCCAAGAUUAAUUUAAUCAGCUAUCAAUGUCAAAGAACUUCACUUUCCUAGCUCAUAAACCGUGAACAGCCAUUUUUAAAUCUUGCUUGCAGUGUGUACAGAUCAUAUAUCUCAGAUGAUAGAGUUCGGCAGGAAAUCAAUCGAAUGAUUGGGCUAAAGCCAAGAUCUUCCAUGCUGAUAAGAAUAAAUGUAUCUGAUUGAGAGAAACUGAAUAUGCCUACUCCAUAAAAACAAUGAAUCAAAAUAUUAUUAUGCCUGUAAAUAUUUUUAUGGUACAUUAAAGGCAAAGAACUUGACAUGGGACAGGCAACAAGAUCGUCGAUAACAUCAUCAAUGAUUACAUUCGAGCCUUCUAUUAAGUUUAUGUAACAAAUACAAAUAAGUAAUGGCUUAUCAUGCAUUCUUAUUUUUGUUAUGAUAUGAGCAUUAAACGACUCUUCCUCAAUGAAACAUCUGAAAGAGUGUAGGAUAAAAGAAAUCAAAACAAUUUACAACUGAUGAAGUUUCAGUCCAGUCAUCUUGUUAAUGUCUCUGUGAGACAAAUAUACCGCAAGUAGGCACUUGCAGGGUGCUAUGCUCAAAUUGGGACUAAACUACCGGUAUCAAAGCCUAAGGUACAAAACAUACUGCUCAAUAGCAUAUAAUAAUAAUGACUUGGAGAUGAAAGAGUUAAGUAUACAGUUAAUCAAUUAUCGAGCAUCUAGUACUGACAGGGUCAUUUCAUUUGUCGAAGAAGAUACAUGAUUGUCUGAUGAAGAACCUUCUUCAUGAAGUGGUCUUUUCAGCAAUAGAAAACUACGUUGUAUGGGUGUGGCAAUUUAGUUUCACUUCCCAACAUCAGAAUCACAGAUGACAUACUUGGCCUAUCCUCAGGAUGCUGUUGUACACUUAAAAGACUAAUAUGGAUGCAUUGUAUCACUUCUAAUAGGUUGCAAGACUCUUCUAAGCAUUCUUCAACAAGUUCUGAAGGGUGCCUUAUUUCCAUAAUCUCCAUGCCUGCAACAAAUUGAAACCCUUUUAGGUUUUAUCAGACCAAGAUAAGCAACUAAAAUUUGAUUAUAAUCCCUGCUUAAAGAGCAGGGUUCAAAUCCCCCUUCCCCCAAGUCCAAAAAAAAAAAAUCGGCUGAAACUGACAUGCUCAACAAGGUUGGCGCUCUGAGUUGGAUGGUAAAGGCCUCUAUCUUUCUUCCCACUUAAUAUCUCCAGCAGUAAUAUACCAGAGCUAAAGACAAUUGAUUUUGCUGAAAAUAGUCCAUCAAUAGCAUAUUCUGGUGCCAUAUAACCACUGCAGAACAUCAUUUAAAGCAAUAAAUAUAUGAGGAUUUUUAGACAUUAUGAAAUAAAGUGACACUUACUAAGUUCCAGCCACUCUUUUAGCAUUCCCUUCAGUUUGGUCUCCUCCAAAAGUUCUAGCCGAGCCAAAAUCUGAAAAUUUUGGAUUCAUCUCACUAUCAAGCAGGACGUUACUACCUUUAAGAUCUCUAAAUAAUCCUCAAUCCUGAAUCUUGAUGAAGAUAGAGUAGUCCCCUAGCAUUGUCACAGAUAAUUCCCAAACUCUUGGACCAAUUCAGUCCUUUACUUCUUGUUUGAUCUGGCAAUUGGUAGGUAUUCUCUUCAUGUCAGUCCAAUAUCAUUUUUGAUCUUUGGAAGCAGCAAACUGCACCAUGUGUAAAAUGUAUGAAAUAUUUAUAAUAAGAGAAACAAUAAACCAAACCAAAUUGACAGGUUUUCAAUGAUUCAGACCACAAAUGAAUGAGUGAAGGCUUCUGUUAAGCAUGUACUCAUAAACCAGCAGUCUUUACUUUCUGUGAAUGCACCACCCAAGAAGCCUUACAAGAUUCUGAUGUUGAAGUUUGGCAAUCAAUUUUACUUCAUUUUUAAACUCUUUCAAUCUUGUCCAGAACUUUUUGAAAGCCUCUUCACAGCAAUUUCUUGUCCGUUUGCUAGUGUCCCCUGGAAAACUACACUUUAGAUUGAGCUUCAAUAAUAAAGAUAAAUUCUCUGUACUUAAGGUAACUUCAAUUAUAUGAUGCAACUUUUACCUUAUAAACAGUUCCAAAACCACCUUCCCUUACCUUGAUGUCCACAGAAAAGCUAUCAGCAGCACGAGCUAUGGUAUGAGGCUCAAAUAUUGGAAGCUCCAUGUCUUCAUCUUGGCCUUGAUUUUCUUGAUCAUUUUCCUUAUUGUCUUUUGUUUCUCUGAAACAGUAGCCAAAAUAGGCUUGGCAAUCACCAUAAAAUAUGAUAGAUUCUUAUGCAUUUUGAUUGAGCUAGAUAAUUGGACAAAAAGCUGAUGUGGUUUUUGAGAUCACACAAGACCAUGCAUCUCCAGUCAUUUGCUUCAUUAAAAACUCUAUUUUCACACUGAUAAGCAUUGAAGAAACUGCAUGUUGAUUUGCUAGCAUCACUAUUAACAAAGUAAUUUUUAACAAAGGAACAAAAUGAGCAUUUUUGUGAAGGAUAUAUCAAAGUUACCUUUCAACUUUCUGGGGCUUCUGUAAAUGUAAUAACUGACAAUAAACAGCCCCGAAAGCACAGGACAGUAGUGUUCUAAUCACUGCAGCAAGCUCCAUCCUAAGCUUAUCUUUCAAUUCUGUAUGACGGAAUUUGAUAAAGAAAAGCAUAUAUGAACAAAAAAAAGUAAUGAAAACAAGAGAAAAUGUACACUCAUACCUGAUUUUGAAGCAGACAUUCUAACAUAUAGAUCCUGCCCUACUGAUUGAAACUGUUUGUAAUCAAUCAAAUUAUCAAACCAAAAGGCGCAACCACAACCUCUUCCUCCAUUAUCUGAACUAGUGUAUGCUUGGCUUUCUGCAUUCCAUGUGAAGUCUUGUAUCAUCAGUUUGGUUGAGAACAAGUCCUGUGAUCAAUGAUUUCUAUUUGAGACAUUUUGUAUGGUUGAAAUAUCAAAUAGAAAUACCAGGCUGAUAGAUCAUGCAUUCUUUUAUAGGAUGAUGUGAUUGACUGACUCUUCAUCAAUGAACUAUACACAAAGUGCAGUAGAAAACAAGUAACAAACAUUUAGAUUUAUGAUAACUUGUCAAUAUGGGGGGCUAAACUUCUUUGAUAAAAAUUCGAAGUUUAUUUCAUGAUGUCCUGAGCUUAGCUAGGCAUCUUUCUAAACGCUCAAAAAGCGUUUUAUAGCUAAUGGACAGAUUAGUGAUCUGAAGAGGUAGUAAUCUUGUUUUUAAUCUUUAGCCAGGGCCUUUUGGCUAGCUGCUCACUCACUUUCAAAGAAGUGCUUCUAAACAUUUAUGAGAAAUAGGGGAUGCUCUGUUUGUAAUUGCAGGGUAAAGACAAAUUUUUAAUUAGUGGUUUGUCAUGACCAGUAAUAUCUCUCCAAUACCUAUGUUGAGAAGAGAGAAAAAUAAAAUGGCUAAGAGCAAUGUUAUACAUGAAAUGGGUUUACAUAGACAUUGAGUUUCAAAGGAGCCGUAGCUGGUACUGUUAUAAAGUUUGGACUGAGAAGGAGAAAGUUUUAUGCAUCAUUUUGUGGAUGAAUGAGGUAAGAAGAUUUAGUACAUAAAAAGGUAUUCGAUUGGGGAUUUUACCGCCAUACAUAAAAUUAAAAACCUUAUUUUCUUUUUUAUAAAAAGAAGAGCAAUUAUAUACCAAAUGAGAAAGAGAUAAAUGAAUAAAAAUAAAAACAGAAUGUUUGCAAUUUUAACAAGAAGCAAGAGGGCACUGUACCAUUGAGGGCCGUGGAGCCACAUUUAAUCGAAUAGCUCUUCUCCAUCUCAUUCUAAUUAUAUGUAACAAAGGGAGAAAGGACAUCCUUAGCAUCAGGCUGAUUCCAUUUCUUCUCCUUUGUGAUUUUCUUCCGAUGCUAUUAUUUCCUCCAUUUCUUCACAACUGCUAACACUAAUUUCCUCUAAGUUUUGGAGGCUCUUCAACAGCUCAACUGGAAACAACUUCUUAAUCUUCGAACAUCUACACAUAUCUAAUAUUUUAAGAGAAGAGAAGAUGGUAGGUGGUGUUGGAGCAUCAGAGUAAUUCUUUAGCAAAUGAGAAAGAGAUGAAAAUAAACUCACAAUUAAUGUUUGCAGUUCUUAAUAAGAAGCAAGAGCCUUACAGCCACAAUUAAUCAAACACCAAUUCUCCAUCUCAUUCUACCAAUAUUGAACAAAGGGAGAAAGGACCUCCUUAGCAUCAGGCUGAUCCCAUUCCACUGAUUCCCACCAUUCUCUCGGGCUUACUGUCAUUUUUGGUAGAGAAGGAGGAGGAGAUGGUUUCCCAUUUUCAACAAGGGGAAGAGACAAAGGGAUCCUCUUAACUUCUGGACAUUCAACUAUAUGAAGAAAUUGGAGAGAAUCUGCAGGAAUCAUAAGUCCACCGCUGCAAAUGCUUUUCAAUUUUGGUAAUUCUUCCAAGACUAAUGAUUUUAAUUUGGGAAGAAUAAAUGUUGUUCCUUCUCCUUUGUGAUUUUCUUCUGAUGCUAUUAUUUCCUCCAUUUCAUCACAAUAUCUAACAUCAAUAUUCUCUAAGUUUGGGAGGCCUUGCAACUGCUCAACUGGAAACAACUUCUUCACCCUCGAACAAAAACUGAUAUCUAAUUUUUUAAGAGAAGAGAAGAUGGCAGGUGGUGUUGGAGAAUGAGAGGUAGAUUCAAUUUCAACUGCUACUCCUACUCUCACAACUUCACGCAAGUUUUUCAACAAAAAUAGGCGUAACUCCUCAAUGUUGUCAAGUGCGUCACAAGACGAUAAUGACAAGUCAACCACACACUCCAUCCCUUUACACUGCCAAAUUCGACAUUCCUUCCAGUCAGUCGCCUUACGAAACAAAGGAAUGUUGUUUAAACAUUUGAAAUCAUCAUACUUGUCAAUAGUUAAAGUUUGAAGGUCAUGUGGGACCACCCUAGGGACCAGUCUGAUGAGUUCUAUCUUUCAGGGAAUUCAGGCUUAAACAUCAACUUUCAGGGAAUUAAGGCUUGAAUCCUUCAAAAAGUGGGAGCUGAGUACCAUCACAAUUCCCUUUUGAACCACAAAGUCCAUAUCUGUCAAAAUAGUCUCUUGGAGCAAAUGAGAAAAGCAUCCAAGCUUGCUUUCUGCAUUUCAUGUGUAGUCCUGUGAUCAAUGAUUUCUAUUUGAGACACUUAUGAUGGUUGACAUAAAAAAUAGAAAUACCAAGUGGGUAGAUCAUGCGCUGUUUUCAUAGGAUAAUGUGAUUGAUUGACUUUUGAUGAAUGAAGUAUACACAAAGUGCAGCAGAAAACAAAUUAUAAACAUUCUCUUCAUUGGACAAACAUAACUUCAAUGACUUACUUGUAUUAAAUGAUUUCCAAUUCAUCAACCAUUUGAGACUAGUGUGGAUGUGCAGGAUAGUCCUAAGAAUUCAUCACCAAGUUCAACAGGGGUGCCUUCCUUCCUCCCAUAAUCUCCAAGCCUGCAGCAAAUUGAAAACCUUUUAGUCAUUUUGCUAUAUCUUUCAACAUUUUAAUUCAUAAUAAUCAAAGUAUUUUUGAAACAUGCGAGUGAAAAUGAAAAUAAAGGAAACGGGUGGGAAGGUGUAAUAGGAGGGGAUGUAGGAAAUGUGAGAUAGCAAUUGGCGGAGAAAUGCAGAUUGAAGGGUGUUGAGUUGGAGAAUUUAUUUUUAUAUUAAAAAUAAAAAGUUAAAGACUUAGUUUUAUUUUGAUAUUAAAAAAGAGAAAUUAUUUAACAAAUGAGAAAUUAAGAGAUAAAAAGAGGACGUGGAUGAAAAUAAACUCACAGUGUUUGCAGUUCUUAAUAAGAAGCAGGAGCCUUACAGCCACAUUUAAUCAAACACCUCUUCUCCAUCUCAUUCUACCACUGAGAAUAUCGAAGAAAGGGAGAAAGGACAUCCUUAGCAUCAGGCUGAUCCCAUUCCACUGAUUCCCACCAUUCUCUCGACCAUACUGUGAUUUCUUUUAGAGAAGGAGGAAGAGAUGGUUUCCCAUUUUCAACAAGGGGAAGAGACAAAGGGAUCCUCUUUACUUCUGGACAUUUGAUUAUAUAAAGAUAUUGGAGAGAAUCUGUAGGAAUCAUAAGUCCACCACUGCAAAUGCUUUUCAAUUUUGGUAACGUAGCCAACUUUAAUGAUUUUAAUUUGGGAAGAAUAAAUGUUGUUCCUUCUCCUUUGUGAUUUUCUUCUAAUGCUAUUAUUUCCUCCAUUUCAUCACAAUAUCUAACAUCAAUAUUCUCUAAGUUUGGGAGGCCUUGCAACUGCUCAACUGGAAACAACUUCUUCACCCUCGAACAAAAACUCAUACGGAAUCGUUUAAGAGAAGAGAAGAUGGCAGGUGGUGUUGGAGCAUGAGAGGUAGAUUCAAUUUCAACCGCUACUCCUACUCUCACAACUUCACGCAAGUUUUCCAUCAAAAAUAGGCCUAACUCCUCAAUGUUGUCAAGUGCGUCACAAGACGAUGAUGACAACUCAACCACACACUCCAUCCCUUCACACUCCCCAAUUCGACAUUCCUUAAAGUCAGUCGCCUUACGAAACAAAGGAAUGUUGUUUAAACAUUUGAAAUCAUCAUCCUUGUUAAUAGUUAAAGUUUGAAGGUCAUGUGGGACCACCCUAUCAUCACACCUCUCUAUCUCC